AGUUUCUCAAGAGAAGCAAGCGGUAUCUAAGUCUGGUGGGUGUCCAAGCCUAACUGCCGCUUAGCUCGCUGCCGCCAUGAAUAAAGAGUGAUAACUCGUUAUGACCAAGUCCUGUCCUGUACGGGCUCUGCUCUAUCAGCUGACUCUAAAUCAUAUGUACUACUUCCUGCUUACUUUAAUGCUCUAUCCGCUCUGACUCAAAAAGCAACAGAAUAAGAAGCAACCGGUGCCUCACGCUACUAACUUCUUGUUUCGGGGUUAGGUGGAGCUAGAUCUGGAUCAGAGGCUUGAUCUGUGCCAACUCAAUCGGAUAGUGGAACAAAAACGAUUCUAUCUGUCUGUACCAACUCCAUAAGAGAAAUUCCAUACUGAAGUUUGAGGGUGGUAGGACUUUCCCUUUGCUUUGCAUGCUUGGCGGAACCUUGUAGUGGUCGACCCCUGCUCUAGCUGGUAACUCCACUGAUUCUAGUCGGUGCUGUAGCUACUUGUCGGCGAGUGACAGUUCCUGUUCGAGUUUCAUCAUAUAUAGAUAGAAUAAGAUAAUAUGCUGUGCGGUACCCAUAUAGGUAUAAUAAGAUAAUAUGCUGUGCGGUACCCAGGCGUUGAACCGCUCCUGCCGCGCAAGCGAACAGAGAAUAGUUUUGGUUCAUCUUAAGUCGCUAAUGGAAUGGGAACCGCUCCUUACGCGCAUUCGUGCUGUUGUUCCAAAGGUGGUAUUUUUUUUCACUAAGUCAGGAAAGAAUAAGGUCCGGAAUGAAUGAAGAAGGGAGUUGGUUACAUCAUUCUUUGUCAAUGCUACUCCUUUGUGCGGGGUAGAAGGACUAAUGGAAUUAUCCUAAGGAGAUAGAUUCUUUCUAAGCCUAUCUAUAAGAGGAUGAUAGAAGGCAUAAUUCCGGGGUUUCUAAGAAGGAAGUGGGCUCCAUCCCCCUAUUAUUACCUGAUAGCUCCAUCCUCUUCUUAUGUUUAUUACUUUAACACAAACAAGGGAUUACUGAAACUAUAGCACCGAACCUAGUAGCACCCAAAGCAAAGAGACGAGACUUGAAGUUCAAAACAAACCGCUUGCACCUGCUCUUAACCGGCCAGUACUGGAUUAUUACCUUCGCCCUGCCAGGCAAUUCUUCACUACUCUAAGAUUUCCCGAAACUACUUGUUCUUUCGCCCUGUCCUUGCUUUUCAUUCGCAACUGUAGUUGCUCAUCCCGUUGCUUGGCCCCUUUGCUUCAACUCCCCUUGAGUACCUAAUUGUGGAUUCUCUUGGCAAACUAUACUUUCCUUCCUCUUAUACUUAUUAUUCUGUUACCAAUGACCCAGUACAGGAUUCUUUUAUUCCCGCUUGGCACAAGCUACUACUCAUUCUGUUUUCGGGAGCUCCAGUAGGGAGUUAGUAUGAGUCAUUAAAGUCACAGUUUUAGGGGUCAGCUACUUAUCCCUUCCUUUGGUGACUUUGAUUCUCUAAAUGCUAAGUUAACCUACAUUCCAUUCCACAAGUCCAGUUUUUGGCUACCCCAUAUCUAUUCUCUUAGCGUCUAGACUGCUGACUUUAGACCGAGAUACUUGACUGCUCCUGCUUAUGCUUGAAAGCCUAUAUCCCUUUUUUCCUUUAGCGUGUAAGACCCAUGUUCCUAGUAGCCCCCUAAAACAUAAUGGUCGGUAAGUGAACUCUAUUCUUAAAAGAGAACUAGGUUUGUUAGGUACCCAUAUCUAUGAAAAUAAGGUUGGUCAGGUACCAAUAUCUCUAUGAAAAGAAUAUAUAAGUGUAUAAUAUGCCCUGCUUCUAUAUGAUCUCGUUUAACAAUUCGAUUCUUCUCCUUUAUUCAUCAUGGUUUUGAUGCCCCCUAAGUGGUCCAACCCCAAGCAUGAAAGGUUUACUCGGCAUCAGGAAAGAUAGUUUCAAGUAAGAUAGGUGAAGAAAGUGAUAUUUCAGUAGAAUUUGACUGAGACACAUAUAGACCCAAAGAGCGGUAACCAAAGAGAUAGGUUGGAUUCGAGAUGAUCUUCUUUCUUCUUUAUACGAUGACUUUUCGCACGGCAUCUGAAACUAUAACUGGAACUCUACUUUAUACAGCUAAUUCACCUUAUUCCUCUUCUCCUGAUCCUUCUGAUUUACAAUAUUCUAGUGGAUACUCAACGGAAGAAGAAACUAGCACAGCGUAGCCAAUCACUUCUAUUGGAGACUUUGCGCGCGCACACCUAAUAGCUACUGUUUCCUGCUCUGUGGUGUGGGCAUGAGAUUAGCAUUCGGCUUCUGUAAACUCGGAUGAAACUCAAACCGUAUCAGCUUCAUCAGAAGUGCUAGAUGAUGACCUUCCUUAACCUAGCUUUCCAGUCAAUACUAACCGAUACCCCUCUGCCUGGCUGUGGAAUGAAGUUCAAUCAAAAGAGAAACACAGGAGCCUAAGUAGGCCUAAUUCUGGUAUCAAAUCAAUUGAAUUAGAUGAACUCUAGUUCUUAAAGAAGCAAGUCAAGUUAUCGGUGAAGAAAUAUAAGUGAUAGUGGAAUCUGUAUUAGUUGACUACCCGGUAUUGUAUUAUUAGUAUGAGUAAAGAGGAAAGAAGUUUCAGAGUGCUAGGUGUGUUGGCUACUAGUUUCAUCCCGUAGAGUUAAUGGGUUUACUAAUGAAAUGGAAUCUAAAGCAGAAGCAUCAGAUCUUCUCUCCAACUCUGGAAGUAAGGUUUCAUCUAAUACAAAGAAUAAGGUGCUGAAAGCCUACAAAUACUUACUGAAACUAGCCAAGCUACUAUUGAGGAAGGAAAGAAAGCCAGUUAGUGCAGAGGCUACAAUUGACAAGCUUAAGGAGUAAUGUUGCCCGGAAAGCAGGAUUCCAGUCUCGUUGACUCGGCAGGGAGGAAAGUGAAAGUUCUCUUAGUGCUACAGAAUUGACUACCUCCCGGAAAGCUUAUCUCAAGGCGACAUCCCGGCCAAGCAGACAGCCAGCCAAGAUCCUUCAAUACCAGAUGCGUAAGAUUUGUGAUAUGCGUAAGAUGGGUGAUACGGGUGGUUCCUCUCCUUCAAUGCUUCAAUGAAUAGAUAUAACGGCCAAGCUUAGGAUAGACAAGACACGCAGACAAGUAACUACUCCAUUCCCUCACUGCGGUUGUUACUUUAGCGUAACAUUAUAAGUGUCUUGGCGGGGAUUCAACCAGAACGGGAUCAGGAGCAGUACUAAAGGGAUGGGAUUCCACUCGCCCAGCAGAGCCAGCAGGGUUCAAUGAAUUGUAAACAUUGACUAAGAGAGCUUAGUUACUUAUGGUAAAAGGAAUGAGACCUUCUAAGCCCCAUAACUGCCACUACUGCUAUACCCAAACCAUACCCGAAACUAAGCUUUGGCACUAAGAAUAAGGGAACGAAUAAAGGAACUCUGCCUCUUGCUCUACAACAGUUGUUACCGAGUCCUUUGUUUGGGUUAGUGACUUAUUAACAGCAGUGAAAUCUCAAUAGGGAACUUCACCUUACCCAGUAGCAGUGAAAUCUCCAGCUCGGAAAGCACUCUCCAUUAAGUGGUAAAGAGAAAGGGUUGAUACAAUGCAAUCGGUAACUAUUUCUUUGAUACCUGAAUUCGGCUACUAUACUCUGGUUCCUUGAUACUCUCUCUGCUCUAGCUGUUAGUAACGAGUCCUGUGUGAGCCUGUCCGGUAAGAACUAGUUCGGUUUACAAGGGUUUCGUCAAAGUGGUAUUUACUACUUGUUUAUAGACUUACCCAUCACCUGCAGGCUCUGGCUCUGUGAACUCGGUGGGCAAGGGGCCAAGCAACUUCUAAUGACCAAGCAACGGCGAAAGACGUUGGGCGGUAGCCAAUAAACAGUUCUUACGAAGUUAUUACAAUAUAUGCCUUCGGCGGCAGGAGCCCCGGUAAUAUUAGUGGAAUUCUGGGACGAGUGAGAAGAAGACCGCUACUUAGCUACCCGGCUGCAUUCUGGUUAGCACUAGUUUCAGUAUGUGGCUAGUUAGUGUCAUUCUUAUCUACUACCCUGGAUGCUCUGAUCCACUACCCUAGAUGCUUGGCCCUUUGACAAUAGGUGGUUUAAUAACAUUCUUAUGGAUUAACUCGUUGAUGAAUGGAGGGCCCACUUUACGACGAGAAAGAAUUUGUACUCUAUAAAGCGAUAUUGAGCUGUAGUUAUCAAGUGGUCGUGUACUGUGUCUAUAGGAGAAUCUUUUAUCAACAUUUCUUUGACUACACUCAUUGCGGGCAUCCCUAUAACAUUUCUUUGCCUACACUCAUUGCGGGCAUCCCUCUCGGUCGAUAUUUCAGUAUUCCUAUAUACCCUACAAAAGAUGAAGUCUAUCAUAAACCCGGACUCCAUUAUCAUCUCGUCCUGUACCGUGGUCAAGUUAGGGACUCUCUCGAAAACUGGGUGAUCCCUAGCUGAUGCGAUCCAGCCGAGAUGGCGGAUCAACCGGAUCUUUCAUUCCAUGCCUUAUCUUUCGUUUUACAGAACUUCUAGCACUCGAAGCAUUCUCCUUAUGAUGAGAGAGAUGGUCUUGUUAGAAGGCGAGUAGUCCCUCUUGGAUCUUCUUCCUGCCAUUAGCUAAGAGACAGCUGGAUCGGACCUCUAUCUCGGACUUCCUGAAUUCAUGCUGGUUACAAAGAGAAAUCCACUCGCGGAAUCAGGACCUUGGCCAAAGAUGGAGUAAUAGGUUUCCGGGUAUGUGAGAACUUGUCGUCUUUGUCAGCAGGACCGUCGUGGAGCGGGUUGGAGCCAUUGCCUAUACAACAUCAAAAAGCUUCCAUCGCCCCGGAGAGACUUAGCUUAAUCUGGACGUCUUCCCAUUUCCAUUAAUUCCUUGACUUGUAACGAUAGUUCCUUUAAGACCAGUAUAGGGCUUUCAGGCGCCUGAUCUUAAUGAUAGGUGCGGUGCCGAGUGAAAGGCAAAAGUCAAGAUUACGUGCACCCAUGUCAAAGGUAACCGAGUCAUCGGAAAGGAAAAGGGAAUAGGUGGUUUUGCGCAUCCAAGGAUAAGGGUUUUGUUGCUUAAUAGCGGAUUCGUAGGUUACUAAAAAGAAAGUGGGAUUGGAAAUGGAACUCUCGACCUGACCUGGGGCGGAUAGGAAUUUCGACUUUCAAUGGAAUCAUUGGCUGGAUCGAGAUUAGAGCCCUUUCAUGAGUUUGAGCCCAGAGAGAUACCAAACUAACUGGACCUACUCCAUACACUUUUGGAAAAGUAGGAGCUUGUUAGUUAGUAUUUAUAGUAUGCUGUGGUUAGUGACUUAAUUGUAUCAUAUGCAACCUAAGCUAACGCUGACUUUUCUGUUGUUGCACUGGGCAAUAAUAAAGUAAAGGUGCUUGGCUUUCCCUUCCUUGACCUGACCGCAGGGUUUUUACUGAAUUCUAUUAGAUGAGCGCUCUCUUCAACAAGCAAGGGAACAAGUGAGUUUGUCGGCGCAAGAACAAGUGUAUGAGUGACAGAAGCCCUUUAACGAGGUGAGUUAACCGGCGCAAGAACAAGUGUAUGAGUGACAGAAGCCUUUUCUCGAGUGCUUUUCGACCUUGUAGUUUCAGAGUAGAGUUCCAGAAGUGCUUGUGUGCCAACCGUCCUUUGAAAUGAGUAAACGUUCUUUCUUCAUUGUCAAUAGUGCCCUUUCAGAUGUGUGGUGGGAGACCCGAUCUUAGAUCCUAAAUGGAGUCUCGUUGCAGGAAUGGGAUAAAUAAAGAAAUACUAUUACUGAUUUCAAUGAGAGUGGGAAGGAAGAGAGCAAGGAAGAGGCAUUCUGUUCUAUACUUUAGAGUGAGAAUCCUGGAGAAGAAGAGAAAAUCAUAUAAUCGAUUCUAUAUCCUCCAUAAAAGAAGGAGCUGUUAGUUAACUUAUGUAUGACUGACUUUAUCCAUUUUCAUGUAAUUCUCCAAUCUAUUUCUCUUACCAGCAAGCGGGAACGAAAGAAUAAGCAAUUGGGGGGCAGUAUGGAACUUGAUUCAAUAAUAAGAUAUAAGGCCCAAUGAAACAAACUAACUAACUAUGUUUUGAUUCGGAGGAUUGGGAAGUCAAUAAGAUAAAGUAUAGUAAGGCUUAUGAAUUACAGUACUUGGUGCAGGGAUAUAAUACCCCGUAUAUCAUGAGGCAAGAGAGAUAGAACUUUCUCAUUGCCGAGAGGUUUACUUCAGACUUCGAAGCCUCUAUUUCGGGUGCUUGCUUGAAACCCGGCCCGGCCCUGACUCUUUUUGUUUCCUAUCAAGAACCACUUCCCUUAGGCAACUCCAUUUACUGACUUACUAUUUCUCUAUCUCCAUAUGCCUCUGUCUAUCUUCCGACUAUUUCUCUAUCUCCAUAUGCCUCUGUCUAUCUUCCCCUUUUCCACGGGCUGGCUAAUCGAGUGAGUGCUUUUUGUGCAGAAAGAGUUAGGUAAGAAGGAAAGUUCUCAGAUACAGCAAUGCUUCUCUCUGGGAAAAAAACACUUGAUGAGGCUUCCUUACCAGAAGAGAAAGAGAAAGGAGAUGGACUGAUUCUAUGGUAGUGUUUAUUGCUUUCAACCUCCUCAAUUUCCUUCUCUCGUAUGCCAUCUGAGGACCUUGAUCCCCACUAUAGUAGCCCGAGUAAGAAAGUCCAAAUAUUCAAAUAAUGGAAAAACGCGAAGUUGACAGUUCUCUUUUUGCUAGAUUGACCUGACUUCAUUCGUGAAAAUCCGAACCUAUUGUAUUCCUGGCUGGAUCAGACCUCUAUGGGCCGAGCUCGUUCUUUCAUUUUAGGGAUUUUCUUAAAGGAAAGAGAAUUCUCUGGAUUGGAAAGUGCCCCCAGGUACGUAGACCUCGAUCCAAGCCCUUUUGUUACGUUAAUGGGAUAUCUGCUUUGGCAUUUCCCAAGUUCCGUUCUUCUAAAGCUUUGAUUCUUGAAACCUUAUUUCUUUGAUUUCCUUUGGAGCGGUAGAGAAAAAGAAGUAGACUCUCGUUAACUAAUUCGAAAAAGCAUGCUUAGAAACGUCUCUCUUUUGGAGGGUUGGAAGAAUCUAAUAUGAACAUGGAUUUCUAGUCCUUAAGUGUUGUAUAUUUUAUGGUUCUUUUUAUAUGAAAGCGGAUUGGAGACUUGACCGCGUUAAGCUAGCCCUCCGAACCGCUCUCGCUCGAUCAUUUGAAUAGGGGAAGUCAUCAGCUAAAAAAACUCCUGCAAGCCGCCCACUAAGUAAGAGCUCUGGCAAAUCAUUGAAUAGGAGUGUUGGAAAGCACUCAACUCAAACCUGCGCAGGAACAAGUAUAGUUGAGAGAGGUCGGGCCGGGUGUUAGUGUUUAAGUAGAGUUAUUGUGCGAAGAAAAUCCAGUAUAGGGUCGAAUGGCCUGAGUGUCCCGCUGCUUAGCCUUGUGAAACUGAUUGUACUGCUGGAGCAAUUGUGAAACUGAUUGUACUGCUGGAGCAAGUAGGUUCGAUAGGUGGGGUAUAUUUCCGAGUGGAGAUAGGUUGGGGAAGAAGAAAGUGUAUAUCCUAUAGAAGCAGGACUAUAAGCAAGAUCCGAAAGAGUUCAUUCCGUUUCUGUCGAGGUCCAGUCUCAAGUCGAGUCACAGUUCAAGUCAGAGUGAAGUCGACAACUUAAGAAGCAGUUUCAAGAGACGGAUCAGGCUCAGAACGGAAAGUCGAAGGUUGAGACAGAAUCUAAUCUAAAGUAAGCUGUUAUAGCAGUUGAAACAGAGGAAGCAGUGGUCUUUACCCGCAAUUAAUAAGUUAGCAAGUCCUUUUGAUUAGGCUAAGGCGUCAGUUAAUGAUUUUCCUGGUUGGUUGACCCGGGUUGGUUGGUUUACCCGGCACUUUUCAUCGUAUUUAGAAAGAAGCUCUGCUGAGGUGCUCUAGCUCUAAGUCUACGAGAUAAGAAACAAGUUGGUAUAGAACCAGAAUAAGGAACAGUGGAAUAAGUAUCUUCAGCAAUAGAUGGGGCAAGUCUUGUUGAGGUCGAGGUGAAAGUCAGAGUAUAAAGUAGGCGGGAAGUUGUUAAUUGUUCAAGAAAACAGUAGAUGUAGGAUUCCUUAUAAGGCCUUGAUCCAGGUCUGAUAGCUAGAAGAUGGAUAACCACCGAUUUGAUAAGAAAGUAACAACACAGCGAUACUUACAUGUUGAUGGAAGAAAGUAACCGAACAGCGAUACUUACAUGUUGAACAAAUUGCUUCUCAACUCACUACUGACUUAUGGAACUUGAAUGAAUUGGGGCUGACUGACCUUUUAGGUAUCGAAUUAUUGCGCAUGUCGUUUGUUGCUAGCGUUACUAAUGAUGUUUCUAUAGCUUAUUUCCUAGUAGCUCUGUUAGCGAGUUUGGCACUGCUUACAAUUAUUCCGCUUCCUAUGUGGGUGGUUCAUUGAUGUGUUGAAGCAGCGCUAUAGGAUGCUUGAGUUUGCUAGCUAACGGGUUAACCCAAUUUCCAUGAAGGCACUUUCUUUGGUCGAGAGAGAUCAACUCUACUGUCUUUUGAUUCUCGUUAUGUAAGCCUUAACCACGCAGUCUAUAGAUAGAGUUGGGACAGGCAAUACUUAACUACACUUUCCUUUCGAACUGCAAUGGAAUCUUUGGACCACCAAUAAUAGAGUAAUUAAUAACACUGUUUCUUUUCUUAUAAGCUAGUCCUCUUAUUCUCUUGCCGACCUUACCUCUACAUGAAGUUCAUAAUUGGAUUUGAUCUCUCUUGUACAUGGUAUAGCAUUUGAGUGUAAAGAUACGGAACUUGUCCUUGUUUGUUGCGCUAACGGAGCUGACGGUUAUGCAUUAGCUUACUUUCCAGGGUGUCAAUAUUCAUGAGAUAGUUUUUGAGUGUUGUAGAGUUUCGCAGUGUGGUUAGAUAGAGCAUGAGCUGGAUCUGAAUUAGGAUAUUAAGCAUAAGAGGGAGCAGGAGUAGUGUGCGAAUCCCUUAAUGGAUAAAGUAAUGCAAUCAAACAAACAUGUGAACAAAACUCACUAGCAAACUCGGUAAUGUAAGCUUAUUCUCGGGAUGCGUUAGUGAGCUCGGGCUCGGGGCUAAUACUUAGCUUCUUUUCCGGAACUUGACUUUCCGUGGGCAGCGGAUUCUCGAGUGGACUUGAAUUGAUUUGCUGCUGACUUUAUACUCUUACUUUUCACUACUUAUGCUGACUUACUUUAUGCUGCUGAUUAAGAUUAUGCUGAUUACUCUUAUUCUCUAAUUACAAUAAUCAUAUUAUAUACGAUCGAUUGCCCUUACUUAUUAAGGCUUGCCCGAACUACACUACAUUGCCAACACAACACCGAUUUGCUUCCCGUAUCAAGCAUCUGAUAUUCUCAUUUCGGAAUGGAAUGAAAGCUUACGGAGUUUUGCUUCAUCUAGCGUUAGGCGAGUUCCAGUUAUUUGUUCGAGUCGAUACUCUUACUCUAGAUGAGGUCAAUUCGAAUCCUCGGACACUACAUCACGGGCUCUUUACAGAAAGAGUGGCCCAUAGCAAUAGCUUUUAGGGAUUCUCGAUCCUCUAAAGUCCGCCUUUUUCGAGAUGUACGGAAAAGGAUCCCCUGGCUUUCUUAAUAGCUUCUUAUUAACUUGCCCUAGUUUCAAUACUCCUUUACUAGUUUCGACUGGCUUUCCUUUCUCAAGUCCCCACGGCAAAUAAUACAACGUUAUCGAAAGCUUCAUUUUCCAGGAAAGGAUGGCUUCAUUUAGGUGUUAAUCUAACUCAGCUCAAUCUAUUCGCUCACUUAGGAAUAAAUGACUUUAACUCGAUGUAUUUCCCUUGCUUGCUUUACGAAACUAGAUUUCACGGAACUAGCAAGAGUGCGAGUAUAAGAGGCCCUUUCAAUAAACCCUUUCAGUAUUACCUACUCUCGAUAGAAACUCUUUUCUCGCCUACCCUUCGCCACGUCAACAGGAUCACUGGGUACUCCAACAAAGGCUGGCAAGCACUUUCACAAUGGAUAUGAUUAUUUUGGCACAAAGCUUAUUAGAGUAUUCUUCCAAAGCAUGUUCUAUAAAGCAUGUUCCUUCUAUAAAGCAUGGAUAGCCGGAAACUAGCAAUAUUACAAGAGAGAAAAGCCACUCUAUCUGAAUCGAAGGUGCUUGCAACUUCACUUACGAGGGACAAACAAACUUGAUGGUAUCUUGUGUCAAUGGUAGCUGGAUGGCCCAGUUAAAGCUCUCCGCAAUCAGAAUAUCCGGCAUUCUUUCUAUCAGCCUCCGAUAAUGGGCAUUGAGCUUGAGAAAAUGUGGAUAACCUGCCUAUAAAGAAAGGUGCUGCAAGCCUUAGAAACGAAAGAAAUUGAUACCAUCGAUAUAGUCUUCGAUUCAACUCGAAAGAAAGUCGAACCUAGAAAAACGAGAGAGAUAUUUGCUAAUCAGGCUCCCCUCCAGGGGUCUCGGGAUAGCAUAGCAAGUGAAAAAGCUGGGAAAAAGCCCAUUUUGGAUGAGGACGUGUGUGGUCGCUGAAAGCCACUACUAUUCCUGAAGUAACGGAGUUCUGAGAACAAGAGGGAUGUGGUGACUAGCCAAGUGGAAUAUGUCAGGCACUCUCCCAGUUAAUUGAUUAGAGCAGGUUGGAAAAGCGUUACUUAAUUGUUUGAAAACUAGAUACAUUCUAGGCUCUUACGUGAAGAUCACUUACCAGCUCUCUAUUGACUUGACUCUAAUAGCCAUAACUAUUCUAGCCUUACUGGCGGAGUUAGGUUCUCUGAUGAGUCUCCCCUUCUUCCGGUUGCUGCCGAAGUAUAUGCUCCGCUUUGGUUAAUAUCCUUGUGCUAUAGCUAUCUUUGCUUACAAUUUGACCGAUAUAAAAGGCGCUUCAUUAAUCUAUCCCUCCCUAAACUAGCUGUUUAGCAUCUUCAAGCUUGGGAAAGAGUGCUCAGAGUAUAUCGGCUAUGUGCUGCCUAUGUUGACUUGGAGGUCCUAAGCACGUAUCUAUCUCUCUUCCUCUCUUCGCUUUGGACUUAAUAGAUUGAAACCCGUUUUUGGAGUGCAAAAUGCCUUUGCUUUGUUUUACCCCUGUCUUUCUUUCUUAUUAAGAGUUUCGUUAUUUGUUUCUUCCCUAUAUAUAUAAGAGUUUCGUUAUUUCUUUCUUUCCUAUAUAUAUAAGAGUUUAUUAGUUAUUUGUUUCUUCUUUUUCUUUCUUAUAUAUAUAAGAGUUUCUUUCUUUCUGAUUUUGCACUUCACUUCUUAUUUGUGUUUGUGUUAGUUUUUCGAAAAACCUUUGCCGAGGAGCUCAUAUAGCGCCAAACAUAAGUCUAAAGGAGAUCGAUAGGGUCCACGGCUCGCUCUUUAGAGAGGAAACACUAAAUGGGAGCCGAUGGCAUUACAUUGACAUGAUUUACAAACGGAGCUGGAACUCGAGGUAGAGGAAAAGGGGGGCAAGGAGGAUGACUUUCUUAUAUAUUUUCGAAUUCGAGAUGAGGGAUGAGCGAGACGCUUGUGCCAAUAACACAUUGGAUGGGAGCCUUCUCUUCUCUGGCUAAAGGUUUUGCCGCGGGAACUCGCACAGAGGCCUUAAACUAAUCAACAUCAUCCUUAUUCGGGCCUCCAUGUAGAAAUCAACCUCGUACGCUGAUCCUUCACCCCCCAAUUCGAUGGGAAAAAGGAAAUGGAAAGUGUCUUGCAGAACAGAGAAACGGAGAAUUUCUUCUUUGUUAAUAGAUGGAACACUAAUAGAGGUUUUUUGAUCUAACAUGUGUUAUACCCAAACCGGAUCCAUCACCUAGAACGAUCUCAUCAGGCCCUUUCAUACUCAUAGUUCAGAGAGAGAUUGCUUAAGUCACUGGUAACACUCUUAGAGGCAGCCGAGUAAACAAGCCAUCCUUUCUUGAUGGGGGGAGAGGACGACGCACAGUUGGCUACAGGAUCCUUAGUUUGGUGGUGCGCGAGGACAUUUUCCGGCGGUGUGGCCGGCUCUUCCAGGUCAUUAGUUUUAGUUGUUAGUUUACACACUCUUUUUUCACCUUGGGCUUUCUGUCCAUUUCGGUUAUUGCUCUAUUUGUUUGCUUGAUUGUUAUUGCUGAGCGAGUGUAAUUGGCUGUUGCUAUGGAUACAUCACUACCAGCUUCUUUUCUUAUAAGAGACCCCUCAUAUGCCACCAGCUUCUUACCCCUCAUAUGCCACCAGCUUCUCAUGCAACUCCUCAAAGGUUAUGGGAUUUUCUCGUGCACGAACCAGCAAUCUCCUUUCACUCUGACCAUUCUUAGCAUUCAUAACGAUAUCGUCCUCAGCCAAUGGUGCAUCAAUGAUGGCUAACUCAUCUUAGAUAGUAUUUCUCUGUUGUGCAAGUCUUUUGCCACAGGUUUCGAGUCAUGGCGAGUGAGGGUGAGCCGCUCUUUCUGAUUCAUAACUCUUGAGCGAGAUCUAUUUGCAUAAAGUUUGCCAAGCUUCGUCUAGGCUUCAUGAGAUGUUUUUUCAGAUGCUAUAAGAGGCAUGCCCUAUUCUGAGACUGAUGCAAUGAUAGCAUGCAGCAACAACGGAUCCUGUCGAACCCAAUAGGUGUAGGAUUUGGUGAGACCGAGUGAUUAAAGGGCACCCAUCCUGAACAACGGUCUUUCGAAGGGCAUGGCACAGAGCCAUCAACAAAGCCCAUCAGGUCAUAACCAAGAAAAGCUGCGAGUGGAACUGAGAACGCCAUGAUGGAAAAUUCAUGGGCUUGAGUUUCGUUUCAGAGGUGACUGGGCAGCGGCAUUGAUCGAAAUAAGGGCGCUGCUCGAAGCGAGUCAAGUAUAUGUAUAGACAACCACGUGAGCGGCAGUUGAGUGUUAUUGGAUGCCAUGGGGGGUGCUUUUCUCUCUUGCUCGUUGGAGCGUGAUUGCUCCGUUACCAUGUUCUACAAUCAUGUGCUCCAAAUUCCGCUAUCAUAGGCCUAAUAUUCUAGUGUUGCAUCUAUCGCCUCUGGGCUUUCUUUUCUAUUUCUUUCACAAUGAAAACGUCGUGCAGAUGCUCAGGUGCCUACGGCUGGCUGGUCAAAUAACAGGGAAUCAGAUUAUACAAAAGAGAAACUCCAAUGCAAGAGACAGAAGAGAGAUAAUGGGUUUCUAUGAAUUGGCCUGUCCUACGAAUAGGCGCUGUCCAGAGUUCCACUUUCGGCUUGGAUGGAAUUGCUUAAGGAAAGGCUACUUAUUUCUUCCCUUCCUAUUUCAUUGGAGUGCCUACUCUUGCUCGAAAUUAUGAGAAAACUCCCACCUUGAAGAGAGCUAAAUGAAAACCAACAAUAGGACUGAAUGAAAGCGCCAUCACCCAAGGACGGAACCUUUCCUAUACCAGUACUUAAGCAAGAGACUCUUAUAAGUCCAAUACUGAUCAACGAAUAGAAUGAUUUUGCCGUAUCGGGGGAAGCGCUGAUUCAAAAGACUGAUCUUUCUGACUCAUUUUCUGACAUUGCCUUCUCUUUCUGACAUGAGACUUCUCUUUCUUUCAAAGGGUAACUAGCCUAAGAGUCACUUCCGAAGCGCAACGUAUGGGACGAAAUCCGGCAUUGCUAGCUCUGAAUGAAAUAGAUCCAAUCCACUAUGAAGGCAAUGGGUCUGGUCUGAGAAAAGAUAGGGCCACGCCCCUACUGCCUAUAGAAUGAUUGCCAUUAAACACACUAUAUAUAUGGAUAAAGGAUGGAAUGGAAUGAAAGAAACUCCUACUGCCUAUAGAAUGAUUGCAAUUUCCAUAUAUAUAUCCAUAUGGAUAAAGGAUAGAAUUGAUAGAAACCCCUACUGCCUAUAUUCAAUUGAUAUUCUACUUUGAUGGAUGGAAUUGAUAGAGAAAGAAAGCACCGUCAAGAUCUCGAACGGUUGAGGCGCUUUUUCUUAUCCAUAGAAAACAGAAAAGAACUUCCUUCGCGAGGAGCCUUUGAAUCGAUGCACCGAAGAAAGGAAAGAUCGAGAUGCCCUUUUAUCAACAUCACGGAAUCGUCGAGAAUGAUGAAUUGGCUAUUUGAAAAUAGGAAGAAAACCACAGCAUGUAAGGUUUCGGUCCAUCUUACCAUAUAAGGAAAAGCCCCAGAUACUUGAUCUGAUUCCCACUACUAUUUAUUAGCUUAAGUCACCAGACCUAUCAGACAGGGAUAAUCAUUCUGGUCCUGUCCUCUGGGGGAAUAACUUCUGAGACCUUAGAGCAAGUGUAAAGACCAAUCCAGCAGCAAAGCAAAAUAGCUGCCCCGUUGUCUUACCCGCCAAAAGGAAAAGCAGACAGACCCAUUCGAUGCAAUCCAUGGUAGUUGUGCCUUAGCGAGCUCUUUUGAAAGACAUUGUGCUUACAUAGGAGUUCCCGUCUUCCGCUUACGUAAGAAUUAUGUGAGUUCCCCUGUUUUCGCAGUGCUUGUUAAGUCUUAGAAAGAAUCUGAGGUGAAGUCGUUAACAGCAAUCGGUUCUGUUCCAGUUGCCCUUACUUAUAACGGUUGGUGACUCGAAUCCUAUAAUGAAAGACGGAAUAGAAUGAGAAACUGCUGAAGCAAGGUGUGGUCCAAGUCGAGUUGUGGUGCUAGGAAAGGAGACAUUGAAAACAGAAGAUACUGGAUCAGCACCAAACACUGUUUCAAGAGAAGAAAAGAAGCUGCGGUGUCAAAGUGAGCAACUGGCGGUUCCGUUCGAGUUUCACUUACAUUAGAUAGAAUUUGGUAACCAAGGAUAGGAUAGGACACUCUUUAGCCCGGAUCAGAAGCCUCAUCAUUGCCAGUGAUAGUUCUAGGUUAAGUUUCAUCCAUAAGAGCAUCUCUUUCAGUUCGCCUAGUUCGAGUGUAAUCCUUAUAGAAAUAAGAUCGAUCAUCUCUACCUACUGUACUGAUAAAGCUAAUGCUGAUGUUCAAUCAUACUCGUCUCUUUCUCUUGAAGAUAAGGAAUAGAUGAAGUUCUCUUGAGGAUAAGGAAUUGAGAAAGGUGUUGUAUAUAGAGAAAAGUCAUAUUAAUAAGAUAUUAGAGUUGGAUAUAGAGAAAAGUCAUAUUAAUAAGAUCUUAGAUGUGAUGCAAGAGAGUCGACGAGAUAAGUCAUUGGCUCUAAGUCUUUAACAGGAGAAGAGAUAGGUUCCGUUCGAGUUCAAGUUGCAAGAUCCGUUCUUGGCUACCAGGUUAUUUCUUGGCUUGCUCCCUUGCUUCCUGACAGCUUGAGCAACUAAGUAGGGUCUGUUUUCGGCUACCCAAUGAAAUAUAGUGCGCAGAUAGGAAUUUGACAAUGAAAUCUUGACUGAAGAAUGCAAUUGAGAGCAGAUAGUGCACCCAUACAUCCAUUAGAGUUGAGAGUGAAAGUCUUUGUUUGUUUUUGUUGGAUUCCUGGGUUAUUGGGUUAUUAUGAUCCCUCGCCCCAAAGGAAAGUCUUGCUUUUGGCAGUUCUAUUCUGAUUAUUGACUACUCUUUUUCUUAUGGCUCAUAUAAAAAGACAGGCUUUCAGCACCCGAAUCCUUUGUUCGUCCGCCUGUUUUCGUUCCUGUGUUUGUGUUGCGCGGCAGGAGCCCCGGGGUCGCAAAGGAAGCUUGAAUAUAGAAACUCAAGAAAGGCCCGGGAAAGAGCAUCACUACUAUAUGGAAUUAUAAGAACUGGUGCUCUAGUGAAUCAGUAUUUUCGUUCUUGGAAUCCGUUUUGUGAUUAAUCGACCGUUAGAGGUUCAAAGUAUGACUUAAAGACUCUCAAUCAAUUAGUUAUUUUCAUUAAGGGUUGAUUCAAUGACUCAAUUUCUCCUUGAUAAGGAAUUUGUGCAUCAGGUGCAACGACUUCUGGUGUAGCUUGGCUAGCCCCAGAGGCAUUUGCACAUUCAUUUUCCCACCAGAGUUUGAGGAAAGACACUGGAAUUGCCCGAUGUGCCCGCGCACUUCUUUACUUGAUUCAGAAGCACUUGAUUGAGACCACGGGUUACGUCUAGAAAGAUAUGGGAUAUGGGGAUAAAGGGCAGCCGGAGCCUUUGUUAGCGUUAACAGUACAGCUAGCUUCACUUUCAAUGGGUUUGCUUUCGUUUUUCAUCCGGGGCUGUGCCCUGAAAGAGACUACAAGAAUACGAGGUAGUGUUGAGACCGAAGAAUCCAUUCCAUAGUGACCUUGCUUGUCAAAAGGCAGAAAUACUCGCAUCUCUAUCACCGAAUCCGGAUUCUGGUUCUUUCUUUGAUAAGAAUCGAUCCUCCGUUUGCCUUGGCUGGAAGAAGAAGAUUUAGCAGGUAGUAAGGGAUGACAGCUGCCCCCAAGGUUGAAUGAAGAUCUGAUCUCCUUUCUUUCUGAGGAUCAACUAGUAGUUCCCGAUAAAGGAAAAUGACACUGAUUUCGGGUUUCUCUAUUUUCUUUCAUUUUCUUAGAAAAGGUGUGUUUGUGAGGCAGAAAAGAAAAGUAAACCUACCUAUAAAUAAGGCUUUCCAGCCCCAGCCAGUAUAACUAGAAAAGCUAUAAAAGUCCAGCUGUAUAACUAGAAAAGCUAUCGAAGUCCACAUACCAAAUAUGGAACAUGCAUUUCCGAAACUUCCAACUAUAACUAUAAUUCAAGCAUAAAGCUUAUGGCCAUGGGAUAAGUUCCUUUCGAAGGAAGACCUUUUACUUGCGAUUGAAUGAGUUGGUUUGCUAACAGGGGAGAAUUCUAGGCAAGGCAGGACUACUUUCUACUACAUUUUCAAUCAGAAGAGACGGAUUUCCAUUUUAAGGACAAGGAGACAAUUUAGUAGACCGCGGAUGUCAGCACCUUAUUGUUGGGUAGGGCCCGAGGAAAGAAGGAAAAGCUCAAGUGGUUGUCUUCCCGACACAGGGAGCGGAGAGCCUAUUCGUAGACCUUCGGAUAAGACAUAGAUAGGCGGACUUCCCUUAGUCUAUCAAGGAAGAAAAGAAGGAGUGAGUUUAGUACCAAAAGCCAGAGGUGUUACCGACACAGGGAGUGGAUAGCCUAUUUGGAGGCCGGCAGGGAAGAAAUAGCUGACUUAAGCUACUACAGCAAGGAAAGGAAAAAGCCCGAAGUGCGGCACUAACAAAAGUCCAAAGCUCAGUAAGCACUUAUACUUUCUACCCCAUACAUUAGCACUUAUACACUGUCAACAACAGUUGGGCCUGUACAAAUUCUUGUCUUGCAACUACAGUUGGGGCUGUACUCAGUAAACCUUUAAUGGAAUCCAUCUUAUAAAUACACUAAAUAUAUCAUCUGUUGCAUUAAGAAUUGGUUCUAUCUCUACUAUAGCAUUAAUCAUUUAUGCUGCAAUCUCUACCCUAGCUUGUAUACUCGAAACCUAAACCUCUGCUGCUUGUUUACUCUAAACCUCUGCUUUGUCAAGCAUCUGAACUAUCAUACAGGGCUAAGCUGUUUCUCUUUGAUGAGAGGUAAAGGGUCUCGUGCUCGUCCUCGCUGUCAGUCGGUAGGGUAGCGAGUAGGUUAUGGUCUACCAGUUGGAGGGUCCGAGUCAAGUAGGUGUCUGAGGGAAAGGCGAAGUCCAUAAAAGAACUAUAUGGGGAUGCCUAUCUCUUCUAUUACAUAGUUGGAUUGAUUCAUGUCCCUCAGUGGAGUUCCGUUAUUGAAGGCAGUGAGAGCCCAGUAGGAGAGGCGUUCCAGAGUAGUGGUCCAAGCAUUAAGGUUCAGCGGCUAUUACUCAGGGUAGUGAAGGAACUCCUAUAUGUCACUAUUGCUUAAGUCAGGGUUAAGGUCCAGAAACAUACUUGCUUGUAUAUGAAGGUACCCAUAGCUAUUGGUAUAUGUUGGUGCUAAUAUUCAAUCAAUACAAUAGUAGUAUUUUAAGUCCUCUCGUGGCUUUCCUAUGGAAGCAGGUGCCUAUCUUAUCAUAAUGGGUACAGUAGAGCUGCCAACCACGCCUUUACCGAGUCCACUGGGUCUUGCGCCGCUCCUACCCCUUCUUUCCUUGAUAAGUAUCAUCCUUCUCCCCUUUACUGAACCCAGCUUUUACACCCAACACAGAAAGAGAAGAGCACACGACAGAAAGCCAUUUCGUUCUCAUCCGUCCGCGAGCCUAGGCACGAAACACAAGUCUGUUCACCACUGCUAAAAAGAACGCUAGUGACCCGUAAUCCGACUCUAACUGGUGCUUGCCCACUACACAGACAGGAAGGAAAGAAGCAUAAUGUAGUAUAGAAUGCAGCCUAUCUAAUCUAAUGUAGUGUCAGUUCAACAAGGUAAAGGAAUGACCUAUUGUACUAAGUGUAAUAGUAUAUGGAAGCUAAGAUUUCUAAGUAUAUUAGUUCCAAUCUUACUAACGCUUUAUUCAGGACUCUCGCUUAAUUCAGUAAUGGCUUAAAGUCAAUAGUGAGGUUACUUAUUAUGUUAUAAGAUCAUAUCUCUCUCAGAUUUCUAAGUCUUACAUACAAGUAUCAUAGUAUCAUAGUAUAAAUUAGGUGCCAACUUCACUAUAUAAUAUUCCAGGGUGGAGUCCUGAGUUGCUUGUUCAGUUCAGUCUAAAGGAACAGUAUCAAAGGAGAAAUACCAUCUAGUAGCUCUGCCAGCAUGGGGGUAGUUCAGUCUAAAGUAAGGGUAGCAAGUGUCAUUGUCGCGAUAGGUUAUUGGCCAAAGGCAGGAAAGGAAGCAGUUAGAGCAGAGACAGCAGUAAUGGAUGAGCUUUGGAGUUUCGGGGAACAAGUUAGAGCAGAUCCAGUAGUCAAUAGAUGAGCUUUGGAGUUUCGCAGUUAGAGCUGAGUUAAGGGAGUAAACAGUCAGGUUAAUCAAUUACGGAAGUAGUAUGCACUCAACAAGCUAUGUUACCAAGUACUAGCUACGUUCUUUUAGUUGCGCAAACAGGUGAGCUUUGGAGGAAAGUAAGCUCGAGAAUCAUCUGUGUCAGCAGCAAGCGGGAAAUCAAGUGUAGAGUAUGGUUGACGGUUGCCCGUAAAGUAGACAUCGACAACAGAAUCCGCUGUUACAAUAAAAUCAGCAGCAGUGAGAGUUUCUAAAUUGACAGUGCCAGCAACCAACAGCAAAUAUAUUACUUGCUACCACUUGUGGCUUUGCUUGUUCCGGUGAUUUCAUCAUUUUCCCCUAGCAGUGGAUUCCCCCACUUUUCGCAAGAGUCCCGAGUGUGCGCAAGCCCUUAAUGCGAGUUCCAGUUCCGUUUGAGUGUCAUCAUAUAUAGAAGCGUAGGUCAAGUCAAGUAUAUAUAUAAGCUAAGCUGUCUUCGGAUUCUUAAGCAAGCAGUACAGUCAUUGUAUCAAGAAGCCCACGUAGCGGUUAAGCAGUUCAGUCAAGAAGUCGAAGGGCCGCCCAACGUCUGACUUAGUUGCUUGGCCCCUUAUGCUUACUACCAUUCCGAGUCUAUUUACUAUAUGUGCUUAGUCUAUUCCUUUAUUGGAUACACUAUGCUAUACCUCUCUUAUAAUGAGGAGCCGGGACAUGGGAUACUAACAACAGUAGAAGACCUCACACUCAAACACAAACAUAUGAAUUGAAGGCGGUAAACUAACCAAGUUAGAGCUAGGAGAGGAAGAGUCAAAGGUAGAAUACAAGCAACAGAGGGGUGAUUGAAGAAUUCGCUAUAGUAGUUUCAGAGUGUGAAUUGGUAGGUUCAAUCUAAUGGGGCAGUGUCCAAUUCUUUAAGAUACCCGUGAGUAUGUAAGUGGAGAGUCUAAGCCGGUUAUAUGGGUUGUGGGUAGGCCCCUUCCCUUCCUUUUGUGCAGUCUCUGAUCUCUAGGGCUACUCUUUAUUAGAUUGCUUCAGCUGAAGAACCCAGACUGGCAUGAUUGGAUUGAAGCGGUUUACUGACAAGACGUUCACGGAAAAACAGACAGACGAUACAUUCCUUUGUAUUGAGAGUGAAGAUGUACAGAGUAAGCGCGCUAAUCGUUUUUCACGACAGGAGCGCUGAAAGGUGUUGAAAGAAAAGAGCCUUUACUUGAAUAUAGGUGAAUAGAAUAUAGGAAUGAUUCGGAUAGAAUAUGGGAAUGAUUCAGAAGAUAGUUCAUUAUUGAGAGAAAAGAAUGGCUUUUGAGUAAAGCAUAGGAUGCAUAGAAUAUCUGUCUGAGUUCAAACACAAGGCUAUGUGAAAGAUCCGGUCUGAAAACGGAAAACACUAACCCAUUCAAGGCAUUGGAGAUAAGUACGCAUGGUGGCCAAACCUGUGAAAUCGGGACAGGCAAGUCAGUGUACCGAAUAGACUGCCUUCCUAAAUAGAGAGUUUCAUUCAUACUCUCCGUAAAUGAGCUAUCUGUCCUUCCAUUCUUUGGAAGGUGCAUUUAAUCUCCUGUCGUAAGCGCUAAGAAAGAGGCAGGAGAUCAAUGAAAUAUGAGUCAUCUUGUAUAUAUCAUAUCAUACCAACCCUAGGCAAAAAGAGACUCGGUUCACUAUUCGCCAUCGCAUAAAAAGCAGCUCUUUCCUUCUAUAUAAGCGGAGUUCAAAAGUUUCAAUAAGUAUAAAGUUAAGAGAAACUAGCAUAGCAUCUUUCGUGAAGAUCCACUACCAUCUUUCCUUUUAUUUCCUCCGCACCAUCUCUAAGUUCACAUUUCUUUUGACUCCCAUUAGAGACAAAUACAAAACAAACACAAAAGGGUAUAUUCUUUAAAUGGCUUUUUUUGCCCAGAUAGAAUAGGCGUGUUCAUACAGUUGUAUAUUCAACCAAAGAAUAAUAAGCUAUCACUGAAGAAUUGGACUUACUAAGUGUCGACUUACUCGAGUUUCUUAUGAACUGGGCUUGGAGCCGCUGCUAGAUAUGCGCUUAAAACCCCAAUACAUAAUGGGUCUUUUCUACUUUACUACAGGGGAAGAGCUGGAAAGAGGGACAGUAGCUUGGGACAGGUGAAACAAGAAAGCCAUCCGUUAUGUUCCCGUGGUUGAGUCACUCACGAAUGUUUCGUCCCAAUCCAUAUUGCUUUGGUGGGGAACGAGUAGUCCACAUCUCUGAUGAUCCACAUAGUCUGCUUGCUUUUUAUGUCCUUCAAGAUUGUCGGUGGGUGCAGAAUAUGGCUCUUUCCAAAUAGAUGAGGGACGGCGUUUUUGAUACCUAAGUCAGAGGAAGCUAUCAGACGCAUUGGCUGGCUUAAGAAGAUCAGAUCUAUCACGAAUAGGUUUCACAGCAGCUGCAGUCACAACAGAGGAGCUCGUUAUGAAGUAAAGUACCUGCAUUCCACAUUGGAAAUGAUACAUAGAAGUGGAAUUGCGGUCGUAACAUUCUAAUGCCUUAAUUGGGAAUACGGGAGAUCCUUGGUUAAGAUCUGGCUCGGAUGCUACAGGUAGCUAAGCUAAGCAUUUGGAUCUGCUACUCGGAUUGCAAAUGGUUCCAAAUACUGGCUGAAACGGAAUACAAAAACCAAUUGGUGGAACUACAAAUGAUGAGUAAACUCGGUAAAGUACUGCUUGCUACUUUUAUUAGGCGCUGAGCUAUGCAUGGACGCCUAUCGAGCUUCGUUUGACCUGACCCGACCCUACUCAUAUCCGAAUAUAUUACUAAUAUCCUAAUAUAUAAUAAAUAUGAAUUUGAUAAUAUAUCUUUGCCUUUAUGAAAUGGAUAAUGUAUCUUAGCCUUUGUUUGUAUAGUAUACGGGUGAAUGGUUUUAUGGAGAUACUCAGGGUCAAACCUUUAUUAAAGAAAUACUAUUUCACAUCUUUCGUGAGAGAGGGAUCGGAUCUAAGAAUCACAGUCAAUGCACUCUAUCAAAACGGAUCCUUUUUCUCCUAACAUCAACUUUACCGCCUCUUCGAAACUACAGGGAUGCUGGCUAGGACUGGUUCAAUUGGUGCUCUGGCUGGGUCAACUACUGAGCUGAAUCAACAACUUACAGUAGCUUAGAUGCAGCUGUAUCCGCAUUUCCACUUACUGGGUCGGAUAUGAUUCAAAUGCUUAAGCCUCUUACGCUGAUCCACUGGAUGCUGCUUCAACGCCCUUUGCCACUUUCGAAGAACUACCGUUCGGACUUGUUUCUUGCUAUGACGGCAGGUACGGAAUCCUUAUUCUAGGCUCAAGCGGAAGAUAUAUCAGAACCGGGUAAAGAAGAUCUAAUUGAUUCAUAAGAAUGAGCGGAUUAAGCAGUUACAAUGGAAUAAGCAAGUGCCCGUAUCUGAUCCUGCUUGAACUUCAUCUUUCUUUCGCCUCGCGGUCAACUAAUCAUUAAUUCCAUCUUUCGAGCUUAAGGAAAACAGUAAAGUCAACUAAUUCCAAUAAUUCAUUGAACUCGCCUAUAUCAAAGGAAUGCAAUCUAAAGGGCUUUGAAGCCGGAGUUUGCUUGCAGCUAACCUAACUGCUUCCAUCUUUUCUUUAUCUUCGAGCCUAUCUUUUGAGACUAUACUAUAAGCAAAGCAGGGUACCCGAGAAAGUGUUUGGAUUCCAGUUCAUGCACUGGAGCCUUUCUUUACCAACUAUUAGAAAGAAUCCCCUCCUCAGUAGCUAAGUGGUAUACGGUGGUAUAGCAGUUAUCAUAUUGAGUGUUCCAUAUGGGUUCGUCUACUUGACUUUGGUGGUGCUAUGCUAUAUUCUAUUUAGCUUCGUAUAGGUCUAGCUCAGUAGUGAAGACCACGUAUUACUCUUUUUUAGAAAACGCAACUUACCUAUAAUGAGAAUGGGUGAAGUUCAUAUUGACUUGGAUAUUCACUGUUGGUACUCGUACUAUCACCUCUGUAUCUGCUGGAUAUAGAUAUGGCUCUAAGUAACUGUCACUUAGUCAACAGGUUCUUCGUUCAAAAACCGGAUAAAAGACUCGCUCAGUUAAUGCUAUUGGUCAAAAUGUAACUACCACGGGUUCUUUGACUGGAUCAAGGUAUGUAUAUGCUUAUGGCUCUGCUCUUGCAACCCUAGCUUAUGGUGCUGGUCCUACAACAGGGUAUUAUGCAACUGAUGCUUUUUAUGUAUUAGCUACUUAUGCUCCUCUAGUGGUGUUGAUACUCGGUAGAGACAAAUCCAACCCGAAGAGCACCACGCUUGUUCACGAACGAAGUGGUAGUCAAUUUCUAUAUGUUUGGUACGGGCAUUCAAUAUUGGAUGGACGGCUUCUCAUGCAUACAGUUUUUUCCCGACGCCCUACUAUAGGGUAUUACGGGCGCACCGAUACGUCCGGCUCAUCCACAGCUCUAUCUUCCGAGCCCCCCUAUGUUGUAAGUGAUUGGGUUAGGGGGUGAAUACAAGCUAGCAGGCAAUAAAGCUAGUGAAUCAGAAUUCUAGUCAAGAUUGACUUGUCGUGGUUUACAGUGGCUCGCUUGGUGAUGGAGGCCCCGGCAUUCUUUAGACCAAACUGAAUCACCUUGUUACCCCUUUCUUAUAUAGUGCGCCGUUUUCUCUCUGUCUCGAAGGUAGGUUAAGUCAAGUGUCAAGUCAGGGCUUAGGUUCCAAAUGGGGGCUGGGCUGGAGCAGCAACUCUCGCAUCAGCUGUAGCGGCGCAUUGUAAAGGUGCUUAGUUCGUCGAGCAAUUUCAGGCUAUCUGAGCGGGCAGAGGGAAAGCAAGAUGAUCGACCGGCUACAGGAAUUGCAGAGGCUCUCGAACUUUAUGUGCUCACUACUCGUUGCAUAUCCUGCUCCUCUUAUAAUAGCAGUAGCUCUCCUUUAGUAGCUAGUGGCUCUUCAUAAGGUGGAGCUCAGUGGAAUAUGCCGCCAACAGCAGCAUCGGUCGAUAGGCAGGCGAUAGUUGCUUCGGUCAUCUUCCCUGUGUCAGUCUAGUCCUUUGUGCCAUAAGAGUGCCUGCAAGGUCAUUCUAUGAGGGCUGCCUUACUAGCGUUCCUUCCUAUAAGGCUAGACAGACGAUUCCACAUGUUCGUCCGUUACUAACCGGCAUUUCUUCCAGAAUUAAGAGAGAGUAGAGCUAUUGAAACAGAAAGCCUAUGAGGCUCGGUACGCUAUACACAUCCUGUUGCCAGCAUCAAAGACCCUUCUUUCCUUGUGCUCCGGCCAAGUCUUCCCGCUCGCCCAGAGAAUUCUUCCUUUUAGAUACUCACUAACGCCCUCCUUAAGGGUCUUGCUCUUGAUCCUAUAACUCUUCAAUCCUAUGAUUGGGGUCUUUGUCUUUGGGCUCUAUCUUCUUUCUUAUUGAAUCUAUAGAACUAGCUCGAGCAAGCUUAAGAAAAAAGGGGGAAUUUCUGGUACUAAAGGAGAAGGGUUCGUGCCUUUCCCCGAUGAAAAAAGAAGGAAUCUCAUCUUUGUUCUAUGUUUGGGAGUAAGCCAGUCAAUGUGCCCGCUGUUGUGUAUGAGCAAGCGAUCUGAUCCUAUGCGCCUUUCUCCUUUUAGUGAAACCAACCGUCCCUUAGCUCGUGUUAUCAGAGUCACUUCAUCCAGUUUUCAAUAAGGAUGAGAGGGCUUUGAAUGAGAGAAAUCAUAGUUCGGGUGUGGUGAAGUCUUGGAUUGGAAGUCAACUAGCUCGACUGGAAGUAAACUAGCUCGACCAGUUGCUUAUAAAGAUUUUCCAGAAGAAGGAAGAAUUGCUGAGAAGGCUAAUCAUAUAGUGCAUUGGUGGAAAUAUGUACUCUCCCCACGAAGGGUUGGAUCCUUCCGCUGUAUAAUCUCGCUUGACUACUGGUAUGUAUGUCCGAAGUCCCCUUCUAAGCUAAGCCAAGCUCUCUGUUCUCUUCCAUUUGCAAGCUCUUUGAUAUCCGGUAGUUUCCCUUUGAAAAAAACACCUAGACUCCACUUCGGUAUCAUUUUGGAUUGAGUUAGCUAGGGCUCCUUUGAUCGUGCAUCUUCCUUACUGCCUUAACAUACAGCCUUCUUAGGAUUCUACAUGACAUGAUGUAAAAGACUAAACCUCCCCUCCUUCUUAAAGACUGUCCUACCCGAGGCUAGCGAACCCACCACCCAAACUCAUUAGCAUUCCUGCCUACCGCUAUACGUGGGCGCUGGAAGCUAUUGAAAUCGGACAAUUCGGAUUGUUACUGAGACGCGUAACACAGGCUAAUCGAUGAAAUGAUAGAGUGAUAAAGGGGCUAAGGCUCACUACGAAAUUGAUUGAAAUGGUGGAGAGAAUCGGGAUGAAAGGUAUGGAUCAGAUCGAGCCCGAGAUGCGGAUCAUGAGCAGAGCAAACCAAGAUAUUCAAUGGAUAUGCAAUGAGGGAGCGCUAGCCCCAAGGGUCAGAGAAAGUAUAGCUACCCGAGCUGUCAUGAGUUCAGUUCAUAAACUCAAAGGAGUUGAUCUUAGCCCUUAAGAGGGGGCCGAGGCUGGUAAUAAAGGUAUGAAAGCCAAACCACUUUCCAUUAAGGGAAAACGGAGGCAGCUUCUUCGUGCUAUGCUAUAAGUGGGCGCCCCUAGACCAUAGAAAGAAUAGAGCCAACGGUGCAGCUUCGGACUAGGUAGGGUGUCGAACCUCAUGUUUUCGAUCUCAGCCCCAGCCCCACUUCUGUUAUGCCAACUACCAGUAUUAGAUAGUGCCCCCAAAAAGGAAGCUUUAGUUCCACUUCUAUUGAUGCAAUAUACCCUUCCAGCGAGUUUUCCUAUCCCCGAGUCUAAGGGGUAGCUUUAUAUACUAGAAUACUGGUGCCCUUAAGUAAUUGCAUCCGAACAUUUUCUACAUCAACCAGGGACGAAUGGGGGUCGCUUCCUCUCUGCUAUGCUAGGAAUAGGAAUACUUGAAUGAAAAGAAUUAGAAACCCUUGCCUUACUUCCGAAUCCAUGCGGCUUUUCUUAGGUCCGUUUUUGUUACCCUUUUACUUAGAGUUAGAGUUAAUGUCUCUAUCGAAGUUCUAAGAUUACCACUUUCUGCAUUUUAUUCCCGGCCUGGAUAAAGUAAAGACUUUGGGCACGUCCCUCUAUAUUCGUUUUCUGGGAAUGCCUCUACCCACUUGAACUCUCUGGGUGCAUCGAGACAAAGUAUCAAGUGUCUUUGUGAUUCAAUUCUAUAAGUGAGUAAGCAUAGCAUCCUCCAGUUCUCUCGUCUUUCUCUUUCUUCUUUGAAAAUGAUGUUAGGUUCCGAUCCGUAGGUUUUAGUGAAAGGGAUGCUCUAUCUGCUUUCCCUUCUUUCUUCUAAUUAUUUCUACGAGUCUAAAGGGAGUUAUAUUCUUUUCUCGGGGCUUGUUUAUUUGAAUAUAAGUCACUUUGAAGAUCUAAUUAGAAUUAUGCAUUCGAGGUGCUAAGUAAAGAAUCAGAAUUUCUAUCGUAUGGGAAAGUCAAAAGUCCGGCCGAUAAAAAGAAGUCGAAAUAUAACGCCAAUCCCCGCGGUGAUCUUCGCUUAAGAAAAACUCACGAGCUGGGCUUUUCCACGGACAAAGAAUGGAGUCCAACAGCUCUUUGUAAGGCGGAAGAAACAUAUAAUAUAUAAGAAGCGCUGUCUCCGAUGGCAUCAGCAUGCGUCUAGUACAUAUUUCUUUCUCUUGUCUUCGUAAGUCAAGGGUGUUUAGUUUCUUUUCGUUUUCAGUCCUCUUACUCGUUUGAUGUGUCUUCAUGUAUGGGUUGAAAGUUGGCAAAACACUUGUGGACCUCACGUUUAAGUCAGUCUAGUUACAUGAAUGUAAACUACUGUACUGCCCCCAUCUGAGAUAAUGAAUUCAGAUAUAAUUGAGGUCCAGCUCCUAUUUUGGCAAACUAAAGGGUUUGUGUUGAUCCUCAAUCUCGUCCCCUUCUGGUCUCUCUCUAGACAUGUGUUCUUUCGUCGAAAGCAUUAUGUUUCUUUUAGCCUUCAUCUUCCUCUGCCGUUGCUUAUGUAGGGUCCCGACCUCCUUCUUCUAUUCGACUUGUGCCCUUCCGGAGACUUCAUCUUUGCCAUCUGCUGAUGACUCUCACCCUCGUCGACGUGUCUUGUGUCCAUCCCUAUUACUUAUGUUGUACACUCUCGCUGGGCUAUCGGUUACAUUACUUGAGAUUGAUAGGUAUUAACAGCACUUUAGAGGGUAUUGAUAGGCAUUCACAUGACUUUCUAGGGUAUUGAUAGGCAUUCAGAGCAGCUUGCAGCCUCGCCAGAUCUUACAUCUCUGGUUGUCGAUCCUACACCACAGGUUCGUAGGUCUUAUCGCAUUUUCACGAAGCCUAUUUGUUUCGUUGAAUCUCACUUGUUCACUCCUCGUUAUCAUGCCUUUUUAGCUGCUCUUCACUCUUUCCAUGAGCCUCAGUAAACUAGGGAGGCAGGCAGCCGAGCCGCUAUUCAAUGUUGGCAACAGGCAAUCAAUAUCUUAAGAACGGACUGCCCUUCAGCAGAAUGCCAUUUUGGAUCUUUUUCUUCUUCCGUCUGGUAAGGUUGCUAUUGGUUUCCGUUUCCGUCUGGUAAGGUUGCUAUUGGUUUCCGUUAGGUUUCUAAAGUGAAGACGUGAUCUGAUGGGUCUGUUGAGAGAGACAAAGCUAGGCUGGUAGCCAGAGCGGAACCCGCAUAGACAUUAAGGAGACUUUUGCGCCUGUGGCUAAGAUGACUAGUAGUUUGACCAUUAUUGCCAUUGCAGCGGUUGGCCACUCUAUAAGUUAUACGUUCCUUAUAUGCCUUAUACCAUGGUUAUCUUCAUCUGGAGGUGUACAUGCUGCCUAGCCUACCCCUUGAAAAGAUUCCGCUCCUUCUACUAAUGUAUGCCCCUUAAGCAAAGCCUUCUAUGGUAGCCUAUUGCGUUGGUUUUUCAAGUUUAGCACAGUGCCAUUGCUCGGGGAGUUUUCAUGAUUCGGCCAUGUUCUUUUCUUUUUCUCCUCGAAAACGUGCUAUUCUGUUGUUCUAUGUUCAGGAUAUUCAACUUACUGGUAAUUACUCCGUUAACAUAUCACUGAUCAUGUGUCGCCUUCAUCAAUGAACCUCUUCAUCGCCCUUUAUCUAUACUUCACUCUAAAAAGAACCUGCUCCAUAGAAUGGAAUUGAAAUGAAAAAGGUAGUAAGCGGCUCUGCCGCGCAACUUGUCUAGUUGCUUGGCGAUUAUGAAUCGCUUAUUACUUGUUUGUUUACUUGUUUCAUUGAGUGCAAAAGAAAAAGCACAUUACUGGAAAUAGAGUAUUGUUGAAUAUGACGUUAACCCAUAAUGUAAUAAAGUAACUCACUACCUAUGACUCUCGGGGAUUCACUCACUACCUAUGACUCUCGGGGAGAAACGAAACACUCUGUUACUCCUGACUUGAAGAAUUAAGCUAGGCACCCGGAAACAACAACUAAAUCCAAGAAUGGAAUAGAGCCAUACUCGCACUGCUAAUCCCUUGAAAUAGAGUAAUAACACCUUGAGACUUGAAAGCUGGGGCACUGCUAACCCCUUGAAUAGCGUAAUAACACCUUUACCUUGAGACUUGAAAGCUGGCACUGCUNNNNNNNNNNNNNNNNNNNNNNNNNNNNNNNNNNNNNNNNNNNNNNNNNNNNNNNNNNNNNNNNNNNNNNNNNNNNNNNNNNNNNNNNNNNNNNNNNNNNNNNNNNNNNNNNNNNNNNNNNNNNGUUGUUUGCUUGUUCCGUAGGCACCGGCUUGUUAUCGAAACUCACUUCUGGCUUUACCCAACGAAACUGCUUGUUGAAACAGAACUGCUUACUGCUAUUACCCCACCUAGCGGCGAUAGGAUUGAGCUCUUGGUAUAUAUGCAUUUAAUAAAUAAAGAGUUUCAAGAUUGAUAUUCAUAAUAAGGAGUGAUAGGAUUGAGCUCUUGGUAUAUAUGCACUUCUAAAGAAUAAAGAGUGAUAGGGAUGCUAUAUCAAAGAGUAAUGAAUUUAGGGAUGCUAUAUCAAAGAGUAAUGAAUUCAAUAAGCCCGCGGUUUAGUAAUAAGCUAACGCACCCAAACAAAUAAGCUUGUAACGUCUUGCAUAACUCACUAACGCUUACUGCUCUUCGGGCUCUAAAUAGACUAUUUCCGUUUAGAUUUCUUAUGAUAUCCCUAGCAGCUUUGCUUCCUUGUUUAACAAAGGCUUGUUCCGGCCCGGCGAACUGAACUCGUUUGUUGAUUAUGAAUUGAGUGUACCUAGGAAAUACGCACAGUAACACACAUUCGAAACUCCUAAACGGAAUGAUUGCCCUAGUAUACCAUAGUACUUAUCUUAGCACCGUUGCUUGUUGAAUGGAGUGCACCUACUCAGAGGUCUAUGUUAUGUUCUAAUUUCGUUUUACCUAGGAAGAGGUCUAUGUUAUGUUAUGUUAUUAGGCUUCAAUGCUUGUGGGGUCCGGGUCAAAGUGGGUGUUUUUAUGGAAAGGUUUUUCACAGGCUAUAAACAACGCAAAAAGAGCUUAUUUAUACAGCCUUAACCAAUACCGAGUUUCUUGUUGAAGAUAGUGCACACAACUUAUGUAAGACAGCAACCUCACUGCUUACUCCUGGCGUUGUUACCUUACAUUAAUCAAAUCAUCGUUUACAGCCGAACCCUAUACUAAGCACUUGCAGGCCCUAUACACAGAAGCACCGUUACUCUACUUAACUACUAAACAAACAGGCUCUUAGCACCUUGCUUUCAAUCUACCUUCAAGCUUGUUCCCGCAGCUUACUCACUUGCUUGUGUAAUUUAUUAACAAAACAAAACACUGGCCAAGAAACUAGAUGAGAGAGAAUCCAUUCUUUUAGGAGAGUCUGGAGCGAGUGGUUCAAUUCCUUAUUCUUGUUCAAUGUCUUUACGAUGAGAUUCCAAAAUGUCUGUGUUUGUUGGCGGUGAAGAAAGUCUUUAUUGUGUUCAGGGACAGAAGAAAGUACUAGUGCGCGAGCUAUGUUAGGUGACUUUCCAACUUGAACAGAACUACUUGCGGAGGCAGACGUUGGGAUUGGCGCUAGGAAAAAGAAUGGAAAGGAUGCUUUCGUGCUAGAAGGAGAGGAUAGGAAAGGAAAGGAAGGGCGCUAAGAAAGUCAGUACUCUUGUAGAUGCCGAUCAAUCUUAUUAUGCCAUGCCGGAAAGAGAGAAAGAAGCUUUGGGUUGGGGCGCGCUGGGCAAGCAAUACCUUUCUAUGGGUUAGGUGCGCGAGCAGUGUUUUCUUUUUCUGACUUUCCUUCCACCCCCCACCAAAACGGAAGUCUACAGUCUCGUAUCUCGCUGUUCCCCUACUAUAGGGCUCGAAGUCAAGUUCAAGUCUUCGGGAACGAGUAAGAGUGGUUUAAGUUCCAGUCUUAUAGUUAACAGUAGUUGCUCGUCUUUUGGUCCUGUGUUCAGCUACCUAAUUUAUAAUCUAUCGCGGUCAACUCCGUAAGCAGUGAAGUCUUUUCAUUUACUUUAGCUUGUUAACUUGUUCUCGCCUUAGUUAGUCUUCAGACGCCUUGUAAACCAGUCAAAUCCUACAUGGAACUUCAAGCUCCCUAAUAAGCGCCUUGUAAACUAGGUGUAAUAAAUCAAUAAUGGAAUGUUUACACCAUAGAAUCUCUUUUCUCUACUGGCCACGUAGCAGUAAUCAGAAUCAAAGGCUCAAAAAGAUGCAGUAUCCAGAGAAUCCGCAGUGCAAUGAGAGUAGAGUGAGGAAGGUUAACAAACAAGCUUAUGCGCUAACAGGAAUGUCACGGGAGUUUCAAUUGUCAUCUUAUAUGCUUGACGGAACCAGCAUUUGUCCUGCCUGAAGUACAUACAAGUUCCGUUCGCCCAGUUCGUUCGACUCUCAGGUCUAUGUUUAGGGAGUUAGUACGUUGCUUUUUGAGUGUAGUUACUGAAUCUCAUUCUUAUUGAAUAACUCCAUUUGGAAAGAAGAUUAUGACAGUACUGUACACAUUAUGUAUCAAAGUAACAACACUCCGAAAUGAAAGAUUCCACACAAGGGAUUCAACAGCAACUGUUCCUGCUCCCACUCCAGAGAAAGCUUCCGCGCUAAGAUCUCCUGGUCGACUCGGUGCUAACAGAGUUUCUGCUUAGGGAGCUCAAUCCCCUUUUGUUGAAUUCAAUGAUGACUUUCGAGGUUAGGAGUAUAUAGAAGAAACAGUCUCUGGGGUGAGUCACAAAUCUCUUACUCAGUUUCCAGAUCAGAAUAAGGAUCAUCUGGGCAGCAAUCUUUUCUUCAAGUCUAGUUUGAGCAAAGGUCUGUGAUGGAGGUGAGAGUGCUUGUGUCUAAGGCGGUUCUUGACCUUGCUUGUAUAUGAGAAUGUCCCGUUCCAGUUUCAUCUAUAAGAGGAUUUCCUCUGUUCCGUUAGCGCAACAUUAUACCAUUAUACUACUAAGUAAGCUUGUUCGGUAAGAAAGCGUAGAGAGAAGCUCGUUGAGCGUAGAAAUCGGUAAUCAUAGAAAAGAGAGGUUAAGCUGUGAAAAAGUAAGCUUAUGAAUUGCUAGUUCCAGUUCUUGUUUCAGAAUCAGAAUAAGUUCGAUAAGAUGCUACAUCAGGGAGAGGGUUAAUAAUAAGUACUGGCGAGGAAGAAGUUGAAACAGAAUCCACAGUGCUAAAGUAGAGUGAAAGGUAAACAAGCUAUGUAUUUACAAACACGCUGAUCAUUGGCUUUUCAUCGUACGUAUUAAGAAGCUGAGCUGGUCAUUAUUGAAUCAGAGGCUUAGCUCCCGAUGAUGAAGAUAGGUAAUAGCAAAUAGAGACUUUUGUUCGGAUGGAAGGAGACUCGUAUCUACUCGGUGUAGUCAACUAAUUCCAUUAGAUUCUUCUGUCCAUCCUUUUGUAGGGGAAGAACCCUUUUCGCCUAGGGGACUCCUUUUUGGCCUAUGAUAAACCAUUUCAUCUUGUAUAACUAUUGAUAGCUUGUAUAACUGCAUGCGGAAGGUAAGGCUAAGCACGCAAAGCAAAGGGAAGGGAAAGCCUAGCCAACUGAAUCAUGCACCUACUUACACUUGAUGUUCAGCUGACCCCUUAACUUAACUGACGCGGAUACGAAAACAGUACUUAUUCUGUGUCCUUAGCUGGCGAAAUUAGCACUCCCUUAUGGGAUUACUUUACUACUUUACGAGCUUCUAUAUACCCUGUCCCCUUCUCUUUAGCACUUGUUCUUGUUGGGCCUUGUCAAACAAUCAUUUAUUACUGCAUGAAUAUAAGAGAGGCAUUGAAAAGACGACUCCCUUCCCGUGAGCUCACUGAUGCACCCUCUCCUUACGCACUUCGAGCAGUGAGAUGACUUUACUUCAGCAGUAUAGCAUUCAAUUCUUCUUCCAGUAUAGAGUCUGAAGCGUAAGCCGGAGAAGAAUCCUUUCUGGUUUCCUAUGUGUCAGCAGCAAUAGAUUCUCAAAGGAGAGUUCUUGUUUCACUGACUUAAUAUAGAAUAAGUGGGUAUCCAAAGGGAUAGAUAGCUUUAAGAUCCAGAAGUGGGUAUCAAAAGAGAUAGGUAGCUUUAAGAUCCAAGUCGUCAACAUCUUGUCCCGCCUUGUACUGAGUUAGAGUUCCUUUUCUUUACGCGUAAGCCAUUAGCAUAGUCACACCUCUGCUCAACUUAGAGAAAUCCCUUAUCUCUAACGCGUUACCAGACACAAGACAGGUCAUAACUACUUCUAAAGAAAAGACUGGUCAUAACUACUUCUAAAGAAAAUCAAUAUUACUCCCGUGACUCGUUGGGUUUAGAGCCUGAACCUGGAUUAUUGCCUUCUUCAGCGCACAGUAUCGGUAUCUCCUAGCUUUCUUUUGGAGAGUAUUGUUUGUCUCCUUGGGUGGGAGGUGAAGUAUCUAAUUACCUGGAACCGGAAGGUGAGGAGAAGAAGAUAGUACUGCUGGCAAGGAAUGGUUCCGAUGUAGCUCAGACAAAGUCAAAGUAGUAGAGUAGAGUUCUAUAAGAGAGGUCCACAAGAUCAUCUACAGGAUCAUCAAAGUCUCUCGGUGUUGUGGGGGAGUCUAGAACAACUUAUGAUAGUCAUAAUAUUCCUCAACAUCAGUCCAUACACCUUUCCUAACAAUAUUGCCCGGCGCGCAGGGGAACAAUAAAAUAAGUUGUUCUUUUCUUUGAAGCUGUAGUUUGUUGGGCCAGUGCUCUGUAAACUAUAAUAAUAAGCUAGUCAAAAACUCAUCAAUAUAAGUUAGUUAAUUAGGAACCGAACCUCACCGCGGACUUUUCGCUUUAAGAAAGCCCCACUUCGUGUUAGGAGUUCGCAGUUCCGUUGCUUAGUCUUUUGCCAAUACAAAAUGCAAUUGAUAAUCAUCUGCACCUCUAACUAAUAUAUUAUAGAAUGGAGUCAAAACACUCCUGUCCUUAAAGCUGACUCCCCCAAAGCUGACAUUAGCUGUUGCUUAGUCUUACUAGUUACUAGCUCUUGCUCUGUUGCUUGUUUCACCUUUUUUAGGGAAUACCAUAUAUACCCACCCGGUGGUAAAUAAUGGAUUGUGAAUGGCUCACGGUAAAUGCAUGAUUUUGAAAGGCGAAAAGAAGUAAGAAAUCCAGAAUAGGAGUAGAGACUAUCCUUUAUUACAUAAGGGGGGAGCUUCUCGACGGAAAAGGGCCAAAGCGAAUAGGAUUGAACCCCUAAGGAUAGAAAGUCAUAUCGGAAUGCUUAAAGCGAUAGAGUCGUGAACUGAGUUACUAGUGGGCUGGGCAAGAGAAGCAAUAUCGGAAUGCUUAAAGCGAUAGAGUCGUGAACUGAGUUACUAGUGGGCAAGAGGCUUGCUCAUUUCUCCUUUGUUUUGGGUUUGCCUAUCUAGCUUCUUGUCCUACGCACUAUGAUUUUCAAAAGAAGGGCUAAACGGGGCGGAGAGAGAAAGCCCUCAAAAACGAUCUUUCAUAUUCCCCCAGAGAUCCUAGUAGAAAUACAAUCCUAUAAAGAAGUGGGUUUGUUUCAGGCUUAGAAAGCGGAAGCCUAUUGUGGGGUCUAUGGCGGUCUACUACUUAGUCUAGUCUAAGUUUCCCAUUCUUUUCUAUUAAAUGACAUUCGAUAUUGCCCACGUGAAAGCUAGGAACUAGAACCACCUCCAACGUUAGUGUUCUACCAUACCGCAUAAAGGUGAACAAUUUGUCUAUCAAAAGAAAGUGACGAUUAUCUGCAUGUCUAAUGUAAUAAAGAGUGUUAUUGGUCAUUUUAUCCCAGUGUAAUAGAAUUCGAAAAAGGCAUUUAUUACUUGUGUUGAGUGAUAUGGUGACACUGUCCUCUCCUUGCGUGGAUUCCAUUCCUUGAGAUCUAAUCCAGCUAUUCGAUAUAAAAAUGGGAAUCUUCCUUUGGAUAUACAAAAGGGAAUCUUCUGAUAAGUGAGUAUAAGUGAUCGAGAAGCAUUGGUGAAAUGAAUCAAUCGACUCUCCCUACUUAGAUACAUGUAAGAUCGAAAGGGCAGCUCAUGAAUAGAAGGAAGAUCACAUAGAAUGCUAGUGUUGAGGAAGAGACGGAUGUUAGCUCUCCUGGUAUUACUUAACUAAAGCACUAACACCAAUAACAGAAGCACUAACAAAGGUAAAGUUCUCUUCUUUCUGGUGCUUUCUUAGACUCAAAACCAUCGACCCUAAAGUCUCGUUAUCGUUGUAAGUGAAGGGAGUUCUCUUAGCAAGCUAGUGAUUUUCCCCUUCCUUCGUUAGGGCUUACACUCUUCUCUUUUUCAGCUUACAACGAUUGGUUAAUUAGGAUAGGGGUGGAAAUCAUUGAAGUCGAGUCGAAUAGUAGGGCGCCAAGCAGACUAGUAGGCAAGUAGACAAGCAGACAAGACACUCAAAGACAACUUCCAAAAUCCACUCAAUAUAACGACCAAGCAUCCACUUAGAAUCUUUAUCCUAUAGAAAUAGAAGAUCAAGAAUGAGACAAGCAACGACAAGUACUGUGUUCGGGAGAAGAAUUCUGGUAUCAAAUGUAAGAGUCAGAAGAACACCGGAAGGUAUCAAACGUUUGAAUCACACCGGAAGGUAUCAAACUUAAGAGUCAGAAGAACACCUGAACUACUAUAUCUGCUGAGCAUCAAACCUUAACUACUAUCUCUCCAGAACAGGAGCAGGAGCAGUACUACCGGUAGCAAGAGGUGUUAUCGACCCCAACUAACUAUCCUUUUUGAACCCCUCGUUGCUUGGCCCGCACUCCCACAAUAACUCCACUCUUUGGAUCACAUAAAGGUUCAGGCUUCCAAAAAUCACCCUUAUUUCGAAUACUUAGCGGGCUGUAAACUAUUCUUUUUAGUCGUUGAGCUGAGGCUAAACCACGCUAAUGGCUAAUUCCCUCUCUUGUCCACCGAAAUGCUAAACUAAUGCCUUUGCUUGCUUAAUAAGACUUGCCUCUUGAAAACCCUCUAACGCUUACUUUCUUCCUCCCCAAACUAUACUUGAAGUUUGAUUAACCGACAACACUACUGUAAACCAGUCUUUUAAACGACUCCUGCCAGCGCCCAAAGAGUUUAGUAUGCACGACACUUCAAUUGACUACUUUGAUCUUUAAAGCCACCUAUCUCCUCCACUUGAAGCCAUUAGAAUGUUGCUUGAUGCAGCCUCACGCUAGACUCUACCUGUACUUUACAUAUUGUCCGGCGCGAGAGAGUAAGUUGUAGCACUUUGGCUUUGACGAACUCAACUCAACAAGCAAUAGAAUCAACUCACUAGUCAAAGGGGCUAGGGAACAAACAUACAAGCAAGAAACAAGCGCGCUAGCGAGUUCCAAGCGUUAGUCCGGCUCCGCUUUCACUCUCCCGCUCCUUACUCUUAGUCUUGAGUGCCCUCCCGCUUUUGAAACCUAUCUAUCUUUGCUUGCGUUCCGUAGCUCCUGAUCCAGAUUCUUUGCUAUCAACCUCAAACUCAUUACUGUUAUACCUUAACUAAUGCCUUAGAUCCUGUCCUUGCUGCCUACGAGCCUACCUCUAAACCAGUACCGCUGCUUUCAUUCUCUUACCAUUCUUUAGUUACUGACUUUUCUUCUGACUUGUUUGUUUGAGCCUGUCACUCUUAAACUACCAGCUCUGGGCCUGCCUCCCCCUUAUCUAAUUAUGGUUUUAGUCCAAACUAUACUUUAUGGAAUUCUGUAUUGAUAGCUUUAGUCUGCUACUCCUCUUUCUAUUAGUCUGCUUUUCCUUCUUUUUGGAUUCUGUAGUUACCGAUCUGCUUUGCUUCUUAGACUUAGGCGACCUCUGCCUUUCUUUGAUUCCAACUUUACUGGGUUCUUCAAUUGCCGAUUCUAUUUGCUUAUAUUCAUUAUGAAAUUGCUUAUUGCCUUUCGAACAUAGGAAUAAGAACAAGAAAUAGGGGUUAGGCUUAGGAUCUAGGCAAGGAUAGCUAGUAUUGGAUGAUAACUCCAUUACAGAACUACUAGCUUUGAUUAUUACUACAACGACUAUUAGGCUAAAGGCAUUAGUGCCGUAGUAAAAGCAAGACUCAAUGUAGGUAGCGGGAGACUCCACCUAUAAGUAAAAGAUCUAGAUCCGGGGGGAGUAGCUACAGACUCAAAAGCAGCAGUUGGGUUCUUUAGUUGACCUCGUCCGCAGGGGUUGGUUUAUUUAUAUCAGAAUAAAGUCUUAGAAGCACUAGUGGUAGUUUUCCUCGGAUAGGUAAUGCAAGUCAAGAGUAAAGCCCUAGAAGCUGUAGCGGGAUUCUUUAAUGAGUAAAUAAAGAGACUUUAUAAGCAUUUAUAGAAUUCAAGUAAACAGUACGUCCUCUAUUGCCAAUAAGAGGAAUGAAUGCUAAGGGAGGCUAUAAUACAUGAAAGUCAUACUUUUAGGCGGGAAAGGCAUACUCGAACAUUGGUAUUGAGACCGGGAUGGGAAUACUCAAACUCGGCAUUGAAGGUAAGGUAGGUAGGGCAGGCUUAGAAGCUGUAUCGGCAGCCCUAGUUGUACAAUCAAAGACAGGGGAUAGAAGCUCGUGGGCUGUAAUGCAAUCCUUUAUAUGGGGUUUUUCGUAUUGGAGGUAGUAGUUGCUGCCUUAUCCGUAGGAGUUCCAGCCUUGUAAGCCUCCGGGUCAGUGUAUUAUGCCCACAUUCCAAAUUCUGAGAGGCAGGGUUUAGCGGUGGUUUCGUUCUUGUACACUGGCGUUUGAUCCCAAUUAGGCCCUAUCUCAGUUAAGCUUGAGUACUUGUUUACUUGUCUCUCAUAUCCUAUAGCAACUUCUCUUUAUUCGAUUAAUAAACUAGAGACUUUCUAUUAAUAAACAAGAGACUUUAUCUUUAUUCUAUCAGUGGGUGCACUAGACCAUGCCAUACCUAUUACAUUGGCUCCAAACUGGAAUACCUAUUCUCAUUCUAUUGACUAGCGCUUUACAUACCUAGGCGAUUGACUCUAACUCUCAUUAUGAUUUGUCAUAUCAAACAUAUAUCUUUAAUUGCGACACUCAAACUAUUCCCUUACUGACCCAAGGAAUAUUCCCUAACUGUUGAUUCCAUUCUUGAACUUAUAGAUUGGAUUCCAUGUUUUUGUACUCAAUUCUUCUACUGUGGAGUUUGAUUCCACUGAUGACGUUUCGGUCCAGUAGGGUACCAAGUCAAUCUUACUUAAUGGAUAGGAUUCGCCUACUAGGGACAAAAGCCUUAAUAACAGCGGUUCCAUUCUUUUACGCCCGGGUUCGAUCCCCAGUUUUGAGUGUGAGUUUGGUUCAGUGUCUCAAUUCUGUAGUUUGUGUGAAGAGGUGAAGCCAGUAGCUGAUGAGUUCAAUCCUGUUGUUUCGGCUUUGGCUCUUGCUUUCCUAUUUCAUCCAAUAGAUCAUGUCAUAGACCUACUCGAGCUUCUAAUGCAUUUUCUGCCUAUCCAAUAGUUAUGCCAAUAGGCAGUUAGAGACAAGUCCAAAUACAAGGUUUCAAGCAAGGGAGGUUAUCCUUAAAAGAAAAGAAGUGGAGCAAGCCUUGAGCUGUAGGUAAGGUUCUAGUUCAGUAGGGGAAGUUCUCAGGUAAGUAGCGGAGUCCUAAAAGUAAGGAUAUAAUACCAACCUCAAGAAUGGAAGGCAGGAUCGAUUAUUGUUAUCCGCAGUUAGAGUUUCCGUUUUUACUAUAGUCGUCCAACCUAUUAGCAUAGUAUAUAAGCUUGAAACCAAUAGGCAAGGCUUAGAGACAGGAAGAGCGGACUCGGAGAAUAGAUAGUAAGGCUUAGCUAACGGAGAGGCGAGCUAACAAACAAGACUCUAGGGGGUAAGUCAAAGAAUGAAAAACUCACAAGCAAUACUUUAAGGCAGGAAAGGCAUACUACCAAAAAUCCAAUAAAGAGGUCAAGUCAAGGGGGACAGCCUUGGGAGCGCUCGUUCCAUUCUAUUUAGUCUAAGGGAUCGGACUUUUCUGAAAGAGAGGUAGCCUUAGAGACGGGGAAGGCAUAGCGCAAGGUAUGAGUUACAGACCAAUAGAAGGUAAAGACAGACUCGUAGACAAGAAGGUCGGGCUUUGACUUGAAAGUUCAUUCCGUACAUCCUGUUUUUGUCUUUGACUCCUUAUUCCUAGGUGUGAGUUAAGGUCCUGUUCCAUCAUAUAUAGUAGUCAAUCCUAUAUUAUAAGAUAUAGUAUUGGAACCACUAGCUUAAGCCUGAUGGUAACAGUAGUCGGAAGCUAGCAAGCAAGGAUACAAAUAAGCAGUUCAGAGUGAAAACAAGUCAAGUCAGACUUCUAAUAAGGAAAGGUAGCUUUGAAGUAAGUAGCAGCAGCCUCAUCAGUAGUACGAAGGAUGAAAAGCACGAGUUAUAGUUUGAACCUUGUAGUGGAACUAAUUAACAUACUCCUGUUGGUAACUACACUCAUUGUCCAACAAGCUACCCCCUUAGAGUCAAGGGGGGCAGGCUACGAAGUUCAAUACAGAUUGGAGAUCGGGAGCUACAGGCCAAUAGGGAAACAAGGGUUUUAAGUCAGUAAGGACAGGCUCGGGUUAGAGCAUAAGUCUUUGUGAUAUAAGUCUUUGUCGUGUAUUGGGUUCAUUCCCUCCAUAGCGUCGAUUUGAUUCUACUAGUUGGUAUUUGGAGUCUGCUUGUCUGUAGCCCUAUAUUGUAGGUUCGAGCCGUUAGUCAGUGGGUUUAUUCUAUACUAUAAGUAAAAGGAGUGAAAGGCAUGGGUGAAAGAAUGAGAAACUCUAUUUGAAGAGCGAAAGCCAAAAAGUAGAGGUUUUCGUUUAGGGUGAGAGUAUUGUUUUCACUUGUUCUAUAUGUUAGGGUGCCUCUUCUCUUCCUUUUUUUGAUAGUAUAGGGUUAGGUUCCAUAAUGCUAUUUGAUAUUUAAGGUGCCUAUGGCUAUAGGUCAAUCGAGUAAACAAGAAGGUUGAGACCUGUUUCUCUAUUAGAUAUAUAGGUAGGUAGUAGAUAUAAGUACUAAUGUGUUGGGGACGAUUGCAAAGUCAAUAAGAUGGUUUCUUGAGAGUAGGUGUGCAGGGAUCGAAUAUAGUGGAUGUUGGGUCCGAUUGGUAUAGUUUAGGGUUUAGGCGCCGAUAUGCUCUUAUGUGGAUGAGUCAAGUCCGGUACAGGAUGCCGGUCAAUAAUACUGCUGAUAUAUGGGGUGCCUCAACAAUUCUUCUAAAGAGUCGUUUUCGUUUCUAAAGAGUAGUGGUUGUUUUGUUCGGUGUUUGCAUUAAACAGCUAUUGACUCUUCACUUCAAGUUGGAUUGAUUUCAGAAUGGAGUAGAUAUCCCCAUCCUCCUAAUCAAUUAAUAUACUCAUAGGCUCUCUACGUUUGUCUUUCCUACGAGUAGCUCCGUUCCGUUUCUUUCAUAGAAUAGACAUAACGACCUAGGGGCAGUAAAGCAAGCCUUCUUUGUUCGUGCUAGGCUCGCACUACUGGGAACCUAUUAAGAAUUCAUAAAGAAGCGCAAAACCUCUAUCCUCGUCAGGGCAUGCAUUGAGUAUUAACAGGGCGAAGGGAUAUUGACGGGACUUACCUUUCAAACAGGCAUAUCUAAACUGACCUUUCAAACAAGGCGUAUCUAAUCAGUAUAGUAUCAUGGGAGAGUAGAGUGGUAGGGUCGGAACUGAGAGAAAGCUAUAUUUUGCAAUUGAUCGUUACCAAUAGCAACUUGAACUAAGUCCUCUGGUGAAUGAUCGAUGUGUGCCAGAUUGAAACCACCUUCUUUAUCAUUGGAAGAAGACCGCUUCGUAAAGCUAGGGCUGGAUACCUGAAUUGGAUCUUGAAUGCCCCGGUUAGGGCGCCUUGUGCGUGUGCUCUUAAUCGUUGGGCCUAGCUUAGCUCCAUUACUCAUUCUAGCUCUAGCCUCAUUGGGGAACAGGUCUGGCAAAAGGAGAAAGAACUAAGGCACACCCCAAACCGAAAUGCUCCUUACUUAUCUUAUAUUAUAGUUAUAGUAUGAUGUACGAUCAUAAGUUCCCAGAUUUCUCAUAAUAGGAAAGGAAGGGCUUUGGACUAUUAUGGUUUGAGAUUGAACUUCUCAUUCAAUGGGGAUCCAACUAAACCCCCAGGAAGGGAAGUGCCAAAGAAGAGGACUUCACCUAUCCUCCACCAAAGGCUAUAGGAGAAGGUACCUACCUUUUACUGAGGAUCCAAUUUCUUCUCGCUAACGCCCUUGUUGCCAUGCCCUCUAUCUCUCUCUUUGCUUUGGAUCGAGAAGGGUUGGCUCUGCCUCAGAUCUAUUCAGCUUCGACCAGACGACUACCGCUAAGUGAUGAAGUUUGUUUAGUGCGGAAUCUGGCAUACAGUUACCAAUCAAGUAGAAGUCAAUAGGCUCACUCAUAAAGCCCCCCGCUAGUAAGACAAGAAAACGCUUCGCUUGGUUGUCAUGUCAGGGCACUCUGGUAGGACGUGGCGUGGAGAAUUACCUGCAUUACGAGAAUGGGCUUCUCUUUUAAUGUAAUAGAAGAGUCACGGUCAAGUGAGCCCGGCUUUCUCCCUAAUCGACCUUACUCAGGGGAGUUGCAUUCAGUUAGGUAUAGGCUUUUUGACCUUGUGUUCUAUACUGGUAAGAGGCUAAUACUGGCAAAGAGUUAAGCAUUAACGUGUUUUGGGGUAUUAAUAGAAAAGAAGGCGCCCAACAAGGAGUAUGGACUUGGAUGCUUGCUGGGGAGAUCUAGAGAGAGUUCUAUAUCAACAUAGAAAUCCAAAGUAGUUCUCAGUUCUAUAUCAAAUAGAAGUUAUAAGUUCAAUAUCCAAUUAUUAUAAGUGUAAAUAUCAAAUUAAGGAAGAGUACGCACGGCUGACGCUGUUAGUUGAUCGAAUCAGAUACAGAUAGCUCUGGCUACCCCAAUUCUGAUCCACAUGAGGUAUGGCUCUGAGCGGAGUGGCUGAAGGCAUAGGUUUGCGAAAUCGACAUCAAAUAAGAUUGUAUAAUGGAUCCCUACGGAGGCGGGCGAAAUAACAUGAAAGAACAAACCUAUUCUUGGUAGAGUUCCCUGAGGACGUACAUAAGAGCACUAACCACUUUUGAGUGAAACUAGAAGCUUGUGCGCUUUAUUUGAUUGACCGGCCUGCCCAUCUUAUUUAUAGUAGCAUACCCCUAAGUAUCAUUUGUAUAGGAACGAAAGCAACACUUUGACUUUUGAAAGUAAUGGGCUACGCUUAUCCCUGACUAGUCAAGUAGUGGUAAGGUAGGUGCUGGUGCUGUGCUCUUCGAUGAAGAAAAUCUACAAUAUAUUAUAUACAAAUACAAAUAUACAAAUACUACAGAAAAUAUACAUACAUAUUAAUAGGUGAUUCAAUAGGUGAUUAAGGUAUCUAAACCAGAGCAGAGCAAAGUAUUCUCCGUUUUCUUGUGUCAGUGGUUAGAAAUCGAAAUUAGUGAACACGUCGCCUACUUUCUUUAAAAGGAAGCAAUUCUUCUUACCUAUAACCAAUAAGCCUUAUUACCUCUGUUUGUAAAAAUGGGGUUAUGGUUAUAGAAACCAUAGACUUAUCCAUUUGUAGAUGAACCUCCUUGUCGUAUUUAUUACCUCCUUGUCGUAUUUAUUACCUCGCCCGAAAAUCAUUGAAAAAUAUAGGCAUCCGGAAUACCGCUUAUCGACUGAAUCGCAUAUGGGCAAAUCGACGAGGAAUCACAGUAAAGCGCCCUAGUACCAUCACUCCCUUGCCGGAACAUUAGAAGACCAGUAAGACGUGGGUCCGCUCCUAAUCUUGAAUGGCCUCAUCAAUGACUGAAACACAGUAAUGAGUCACCUACUCUUUAUUUAGACAAGAAAGACGGCGGACAUUGAUGGCUCUAAGUCGGAUGGCCCCACUGGAGAGUGAGCGAAACGAAAAAGCAGUGCACACGCAAAAAACAUCAUUAUGGGCUUGCUUUACCUACCCUUUACUCAUCAUUCCGUUUUGGAAUCUACAAAGAUGAUGAAAUGAUUGGAUUAUUUCCGUCUUCUUGCUUGCUCUGUCUGAUACUAUGUAUGUGAAACCAGAAGAUAGUAGUUCCCCUGCGACGACAGGAAUCUCGUCCCUUCUACUCUUUGUUUAUGGUCCCCCAAAAGCAAAAGGAAAGAUUCUUCAUGAAAAUAGAAACCACCUAUGAGACGAUCCCUAGUCUAUUUCAUACAUUAUGCCUAGGUCAAAGGUAUGCCUGCUUUCUUUCUACCUAUGGGUCAAAGGUAUGCCUGCUUUCUACUUUCCACCUAGUUAAAUUCGAAGAGAGUCUAUCCACCCUAAGAUCAGAAAAGAGCCUAUUUCUCUUUUGUUUGAUUUAUGAGAAUCAGAGACAGGGUUCGAAUUCCUGUUGAGAAUGAAAUCAUGAAACUAAAUGAGAAACCUCUGAAAAAGACUUGUUUGUAUGGAGCUUGCAUACUCCCUGCGCGCGAUCGUAUACUUGAACCCUCGCUUUUGUUGGUGGUUCAGCGAUAGAUGGUAGUUUGCCUUAAUGAUGGAUAGCCUUGCCAAGGAUUCGAUUUCUUUAUCUUUUCAAAUAGAGAAGAGAUCGCAUUACGAUAGGACUGACUGCUGGCUUAGUAGUUCUUUCCCCGGGUACCAUGACAGUGCGAGCACCUUUUCCGAAAACCCAUUUAAGGAAGGGCAGGAUAGAGCAGUUUUCGGACUCAAAGUGUAUAUGGAUAGAACCUUGUCCAGAUUUCCUACUUUACAUCUCUGCAAAGAGAAAUCAAUUCAAUAAAAACAUGACCCAUAGCUACGAAAUGAAUCCAAUUAGGUCCCUUAAGAGAGAACUCAAUCUCAUGCAUCGAUGUAUUCCUUCUAGAACUAUAGUCGCCUGUCUUUUGAGUUCAGGGAGAUGGGCAUGUCUUCUUCGAAAAGGAGGUCGUGGUCAACGAUCAAAAGUGGCUUUGACUACACGAAUGGGAUAAGCAAGAAGAAUGGAAUGCUGUAAUACUGUCUUCUUUGGUUCUAAGAAAGAUAUUCAAAGACUCUCUACCCUACCGCCUGCCGACGAUGGACCUCAAUCACCAUCAUAGUAGGGCAAAGCUUGUAAACAAACACAGAUUUAGACCUUUCCUUUAGUGGAGAACCUAUUGAUGGAGACAUCGCAACAAUCAUCUUACAUUCAAUCUCAGAGAUGAUAGUGCGGACUUAUGAUGGGCAAAAGACUAAGAUCUAGAAAUAAUGAUAGGGCCGGGCCGCACCCUCUCGCCUUUUAGUUACUUUUACCGAAAUACGAGACUGACUCCUAAAUUCAGUCGUUCCUCACUAAAUAUAAGAUUUUGGAAAGAGUCAAACAGUCCCGUCCCUUUGGACUCGAAUUAGUUGUAUAUCAAAUGAGAUUGUAUAGACCCGCCAGCAAUCCAAAUUCUAUCUCAAUAUUAGCGCAAUGGUUCUUAUCCAUGGUUUGGCCAGAGCCCCACCUUUGUCUUUCUUGUUUGGGUGAGGAAAAAGCGGAUACAUAAGCAUCAGGCGAUAGUCAAAAGAGAAGGUUGUCUUUCACAGGACAUUCCAUUCAGUUAUCUAUAGCGGUGCCUAGCUUAUUUGUUGGAUAAUGCUUCUUCCUGCUUGAAAGCCCUUCAUGACUAGGUAGAGGGGAUUAAUCUAAAUAGAAACAAAUAUCAAUCUGGGAACGAUAGGAUCAAUCAAUGCAAUUGAAUUGAGGCGAGUGAAGCUAUAGGAAGGCAGUAGCAGACCAGACCCGAUUGGGAGGGAGUCUUUGCGUACGAUAGGUGGUAUAGGGUUUUUGGAAUGGAGUUCAAACGGAAAUGGCUCGAUUGAUUUGCUUACAGGAAAAAGACUAGUUUCAGAAAUCCAAUAAUUGGAACAAAUUGAGUGACAACGCAACGGACACCUUUCUUUCUCACUCAAAAGCUCAUCGUUUACCAACGAGUAUUGAGAGUAUAUACUCUUACAAAGACAGACCUGUGAUCCACUUUCGAUCUAAAGCACCCGAAUUCUACUCGCUUAUUUUAUUACUUUGAUAUGCGUUCAAUAUUCGAUUUUAUGGAAUGGAAUUAAGCUUCACUGCUCCUAUCCAUGCUUUCGAAUUCCUUUAUUACCGACCCAUCCUGGCUAUUUCUCCUAUUUGAGAUAUAACCCAUCCUGGCUAUUUCUCCUAUUUUAGAUAUAAUUAGAAUAAUGUCUUUGUUAACUUAUUAGUAUAGUCCACUCUUACCUUAGAUCAAAGAAAGUCAGACUGAGUAUUUUUCUAUACGAGACGUCGAUAAAUCCUUUGUAUAUGAAAUUAUUGUGAAUGGAAAGCGCAUACAUCGAGUAAAGAAAGACGGAAGAAUGGGGGAAAAUAGAGUACCACUACUGACUAAAGGAUUAUGAAACUCAAGAAAAAGAACCCUAAAAACAAGGGGGAACUGUCAUAAUUCAUACAAGUAACUAGCUAACGCCUGAGAUAGAGACCCCGUCUGUGACUCGUGAGAUAGACCACCCCGUCUGUGACUCGACUUCUUUUAGUAGUGUGCUCCAACUUACCCUUAUACUUCGCUCGGUUCGGUGCUUAGAAAACUCCAAUAACAUACCAAUAACAUCAAGGGUAAGCGUUAGCUUACCUUUUCUCUUCUCUUAGGGAGCGCUAGGGCAAUAAGCUAUGUUGUUUAGGUCACUUUCAUAUAUUAAUAAUGAGUGAAGUUAGUAAUUGUCGUUAAGAUUCAUUUCUUUCAAGUUGAGUGCACCUUUUGCCUAUAUGAGUGAUUAAAGGAAAAAUACAGGAGUUAUGAAAAUCAAGAGAAGAGUAUAGUAUGCUCCGCUCCGUUUUAGAAGCAGAAUAAGCGUGAUCGCGGACAGGAGAAGGGGUUAACUGACUCUGUGACUAUAACCUUAUUGAAUGGAAUCGAAACUUGUCGAGCUUCACUUGCUACCGAGAUACCAGCUAUAUACUUGCUACCGAGAUACCAGCUAUAGCUAUAUAGUCGUGGAAUUCAGAAGUUUGGAGGACGAGUAGGGUCGGUCAAAUAGGAAUUCAAUAUCAAUCAGUCAACCUGCAAUUAAGGGCAUAUCAUGAAUUCCAGAAUAUAUAUGGCAUAUCAUGGAAUAUAGUAACAAAACACUAUAAACUCACUUACUCUGUAGUUUCCAAUCCUUUUUUUCCCUGACAUAACACAUAUGUUCUAAUUGCAUAACUGGACUGUUUACUCCAACCAAUAAGCGUUAGAGCACCCCAAGAUAGAGAAUGAUAGAUUAGUUAGCGAGCGGCGAACUCACAUUGCGCUUACGGAGCACUUGUUCAUUCUAUUGUUUGUUCUUUUCUUCUGAGACUUAUGUCAGUUAUUAGAGUUUGGGCCAGUAUGUAAAGUUCACCUUUCAUUUCAUCUAUCUAGCCAUAUGAUCUUGAAUAGCUAAUCCAUCUUGUGCAUCAUCUCUAGCCUAUAAGGGAGUAAGAUGACCUCUUUAUAUACUCAAUGAGAAGCAUUCGCCAACCACUAAUUAGCUCCUAGCGCACACAACAAAAAGAAUGAACUAACGACCACAUGAUACGAAAACGUCACUCAUGUUUGUAACUAAUGCAGAUUCUAUCGUCGCAAAGACAGAUCAGAUGAAACUCCACCUUUCCCGCUUGCUGCUUCUGAUCUUGAUUCUGAUCCUGUAGUAGUUAAGGAUACGGCUGCCAAUAACAUAUUAUUCCCUUAAUAAAGCAGCAGGGGGCAGAAGCUUCUUUUUCUUCGUAGGGGUUUACAGACACAGCCGAUUCCCUAAUUGCCCCAUGCUAUACUCAAUGAGACUCUAUUCUUUCUACUGUUCCUUUUCCUUUAUACCUAACAGCCAGCUUAUUAGAUACAGACAGCACUGCCAGCUUAUUAUCGGCUUCAACUGAAAGUCAUUAUUAAGCUUCUUCCCAUUUCUGUAGGAUCAAAGUCGACAACACAAGAUUCAAGUCGCUAACUCUUUUCGGCAGUUUAGAAUUCCAUGAAACAAUUCCAUUCUUUAUCGGGGAAAUAACCAACAAUGAAAUUAUGUAUUUGGAGGCACCGGAUAUAGGCAUGAGUAAAGACACUGAACGCACAGGGACAAGCACUUCUGGACCAAUACUGGAAUCUGGAACUACACUUUCCACUGCUUCUUCAAAUGGUGUUGGAGUGGAGUAUAUCAAUUAGUAAUAUGAAAAGGAUCUAUACCCAGGCUCGCUAACAGAGCUGUUUCUUCUCAAGUCGACAACACUAAUUGACUUUGCGCUUACAGCUUCCUUUAGUACUGCUUAUUCUCCCCCACUCUUGCUUCUGCCUUUGUCCUAACCCUAUUUGGAUAGUGAAAUAAGGGUUCUUUGAUAGUGAAAGUAAGCGUUCAGCUGCCUCUGCUCUAUAUGAGUAGGUGUGUGACCUCUGUUCUAUAUGAGUAUAGUGUAUCAAACUCGUCAACUUCAUAGCUUACACUGCUUAAAGAAAUGAAUCUGUAACUUAGAAGGGGAACUCACACAUCAAUCUCUGACUCUCGGAUCCAGCUGGGUUAGUCCGAUAAUUUGUGUCGAACCUUGCUUGGGCUGGCUUGGCUCUAAGAAGAAGAUAUAGUAGAUGAAAGAGGCUCCACGCUAUAACAGUGAAAAGAUUUAGCAGGUUAAGAACUUCAAGUUUAGAAUAGGUCGGCUCAAAGGCAAGUAAGGGAUCCACCAACCAAGGUAAGAAGCAUAAGCUAGAUAAGAUUAUGUAUAAAGUGGAGUUUACUUUAGAUAAUGUCAGAAUUUCCGUUUAUAGCUUAGUCUAUAAUUCAGUGACAGGGAGUACAUUCCUUCCCUACCCGGAGACAUAGUCCGCAAGUGGUUUAAGUGCUUGUGUCUAAGGCUUCUUUAAGUAGAGUUCUAGACUAAAGUAGAGUAGAGUUCCAGUUCUCAAGUAGUCUACGAGAGAAUCAGCAAUUACUGGCUUUGAAGAAGAAGCUUUAUCAAAAUCAGAAGCAGUUUCAAGAGAAGUAGCAGAAUAUCUUACUGGCUACGCAGGGUGUUGGGCAUCAUAUCUUACUGACUUUUCAAGUUGAAGCUAGGUGUGGUCCACGUCGUCGAUUGAAGCACGGUGACACUGAAUACGAGUUAUUAAGUUCCAGAAGAGAGAGACGCCGCUCCACUCUUUUUGGUAGUGUUCCAUCCUUGUUAGCAGUGGUUUCCUUCUUUGUUUGACCUUAGACUCCUUUCUUCGAUUCUGACUUUGGAGCUUACGGACUGACGCUACACUCUUUUGGUUUGAUUCUUUGUUUCUACCUUGAUUCUUAUACCUAUGAGCUCGAUUCUACGCCUAUGGGAAAAGAAAGGCUAUCCGCCAGCACUCGCCCAUUAUGGGACUGUUGAGUUGGACUCCCUAUGGUUGGACUACCCUUUUGUAUUCCUAUUAGUCUCAUGCGCUAGUAGCUCGGACCCGACCCUUAUUCUUAUCCCCAUGGUCGAAAGACGGCAAUUGAAUAAGUAGAGGCGAGAAGUCAGCCUAAAAGCGAGGGCUGCUUUAGAUGCCUGAGAUUCCAUAAUAUAAGUUGGAAGGGAAAGUCAGUAAGUUACAGUUCCAAAGUUCUCCUGUUCCUGUUCGAGUUAUAGUGUUUUCUUAUAAGGAAUACAGUAACCAAGGAGAUAUAAAGGAAGUAGGUAACACCAAAGUGAGUUGAACCAAUUCCAAAUUCUAAAGAGAAUCACCAAAACUCGAGAAACCGAAUUCAUGCCUUGUUUUUUGUUUGUUGCUAUACACUUAACACUAAGCAACUCCACGCCAAAAAGGUCUCGAUCAAGGGCCUUCCGCCUUCUCGUGCCACAGCUCUAAUCCGAAUGGCUUCAACUAUGAACGCAAUUUCCAGUUCGAGCAAGAGCCGUUUGUUUUUCGAGAAAAUCCAGAAACUAGAAAACGGAUCGUCGUUAAGUCCGGCUUGCAGAACCGUCUUUCGGAUAACUAUAAGUGUGAGUCGGUUAGCUCCUUUUUCUGUUGCUGUAGUUGGUCGAUAAACACUCCUAUAUUUCGUAAUGAAAGACUUAAUUCAGUGAGCUUGGUACCGCCUGUUCAAGGGGUUGGAGGAGAUCAAACCCAAGAGAGGCCCGAGCACAACGUCUUCAUGAGUUAAGUGUUCCCACCUUGGGAGCUGAGAGUCAGGCCUGCAUUAGUGGAAUAUCCUUUACAGCCUUCCUUUAUCCGACCAGACAACUAUUCUAGUUCCACUUUUGAUACCGGGCAGAGCAGCUAAAGUGGCUUCAGCCUCUUUCUUUUGGCAGUUGCUUGCGAAGAAUUUGGGUAUUACUUAUCCUAGCUCAGAUAGAGCACUUGAGAGAGAAUUCGAAUAGUAGGGUUUGGAUCGUAAGCACAAUGGACUCGCUGCCUUAUCUGUCAUAUAGGAAUAUCGAUAGCGAGCAGUACCCAUCGGUUGCAGCUAUAAUCGUUUGCAGCUAGUACCCAUCGUUUGCAGCUAUAAGUAUAGAGCUCGUUCUUUUCUUACUUACCCGACGGUCGGAACUUUCAAAGGAUUCUCCCCAUCUAAAGAGCACUUCGUUCCUAAUAAAUGCAGACGGAAAGGUAGGACGGACCAGUGGAAGACUUAUGUCGAGAAGAACGUAGUGGCUUGUUGGCACAGAUGCCUUAAUUGAUCUUGUUGGCACAGAUGCCUUAAUGGAGAAUUGCAUCCAUCCAAUUAUGCACUUAAGAGAUUGACAGUCCUCCGCUCAGGCAAAGAAAAAACCGAAUCUUAUUAUACUUAUAUUGGAUCCAAAUUGAGAAUAGAACCUAAAGGUUGGUGGAUCAUGGUUCUACUAAGCGCCCUUCACCCCUGGUCCUUCUCAUAUGUCUUAUACUGGAAUGGCAUUUUUCUUAGGGUAAGUUCUUUGUCAAUAAAUUGGAUGCCCUAAGACGUAAUCAAGCCUUGCCUUUUCUUUUUGUUCUCGAUCUCUUCUCUUUAGAACUUAUAAAUAGCACGUAAGCAUGACAAAGGAUGGGAGCGGUGAUUGACCAGAAACAUUCUGUAAAAACAGAAAAGAGUAUCUUGCUGGAAUGGAUUUCAAAGAGCAAUCGUAAGGCCCACCAAUCUAACGCCGACAAGUGGUAAGACUAUCCCUCGUAAGACCGACAUUCCUCAUUCACUUCGAGGUGUGGCGCUAACUAGGCAUUCAACGAAAACGGAAUUAGUGCUUAACUGAAACUCCCCGAGGAAUCAAAACCUUUAGUAAUAUCUUAUUAGUCAGAAAAUAGUAUACUUUUGGCGAAGCUAGCCUCUAGUUCUAGUUAAAGUAGUCGAUUGCCGGGCUAUCCAUAGGGAAAAGUCCUCGCCGGCGGGAAAGGAAAAAGAAGGAAUUCCCGAUCCGAGCUACUAUUGGUGAAGCAUAGUUCGUCCUUGCGCAAAUAUCAAUAAGGAAAGAAGCUUUCAUUUCAGGGACCUAGAAUAGAUUCAUAUAGAGAUCGUGAAGAUAGCACAUUAGCCUAACUAUUCGAAAUGACGUUCAAUCAAUCCAAAUCCAAAGAAUAAUAGAGGAAGGAGCGAUAAACAGAUAAGUUUAGAGAGGAAGGAGCGAUAAAUAGAUAAGUUGAGAAUGCUCUUGUUUCAUUUCAGAAUCCAACACUUGUUAACUCCUAUCUCCAGGGGCAGAGGUACCUUAGAUUAUAUGCCCCUACAUAAGGACAGGGACUUUGCUUAGGACUGCAGGAAAUAGGAUAGCUACUAGGCCAGAUACUAGAUACACACGCACUAAACAAUAUAUGGGAAAGCCUCUUAGAUAGUAUAAAGAAGGACAUCUGGCUUACAGGGCUUACCUUUUGACUUCUUCGCCGACAUAAUGUUUCGUAAAAGAGGUAGUUCAGAUCUUUUAGAUAGAGUUAGUAUCUCGGUAUGACAGAAAGAUAAGAUGGCAGAGAAUCCGAUGUGAACAAAGGGAAUGAGCUAAAAGCAGCUUUCCUUUCCCAACUCAAAAAAGAUGGUAAGAAGAGGAACGGAAAAGGGAUAUCGCAAAGGAACAGGCCAGACAUUUGCUGGGAAGGAUAUCCUUCCAAGAUAUUCCACCUAGAAAGAAAGUUCUAUAUAUAUAUAAUGCCUUACUUGAUUGGUGAGACAAGAGAGAAAGCUUACAAUACUGGAUUUGCGAGACAAGAGAAUCGGCUGGAUAAUAAUAAGUUAGAGAAGCUAGAGCAGAUGAACCAUUAAUUAGUUCAGAAAGUAGAGUGGAGUUACUAUCUUCUAAGUAUUCUAAGUUAGUUAGGGAGUCUUGAGUGGAGUCGACGAAAGAAUCAUCAUCAUAAGUUCAAAAGCAUAAGCUGGAUAAGAAGCUUUAGAAGGAGCAACUGAAUCAACAGUGCCAAAGGAAGCUGCAAGUGGUUGAGAACAAGCAACUCCCACUCGGGGUGCCGAUAUUCUAGAUUCCAGUUUCGAGUCAGCGGUUCAAUAACAUGAUGCACUUCAAGUGGUGCCCUUAAUUACUGGCGUCAGUGAGUUUGUUUUUCCUACUAUCCUGGGUGUUACCUACUUCGACCUGCCCCUAAGAAAACUAUCUAAUUAAUCUUAUGUUGCAAUAAAUAAGUGAAUCGGUGUUGCAGUAACUGAAUUAGCAGUAGAGAGUUAGUCAGUAAGAGAAGGUCAACCAUUGAAACUCUGGAUUCCAAUAGAACAAGUCUAUACCUCUGGGCUCUUUCAACAGCAUCUGAUCUUUCUUGAAGUUAUUCAUUUCAUUAGUUGACCAGAGACGAGAAAUAGGGGUUCUUCAUCCUCUAUGGUGCUAGGCUAGACUUAUGGACUUGGUUUGACUUCUUCCUUUCUUUGUUUUGCAUGCGGCGUACUUAAGGGUAGUGGUCGACCAGAUAGAGAGCUGGUUUAGGUUUACAGUUUACAGUAGCUUGUUUUAGUAACUCCGUAAGCGCAUAAUUGAUAGAUGUUGCUUCUUUGUUUCGAGGUGUGCUAGUUAGUUUAGUGAGUUUGUUUACCAAUUUCUAUAAGAGAUGGAAGAUAUAUGAAUUGAAGAUCCCUCUUGAGAUACUAAUCAAGCUUAUUAGUCGCCCCCAACACCUAGACUUUGCACUUGACCUAGAAUUGAAGGAGGAUUAACUCAAGGCAUCGCAGCUGACGCUGCCCUCGCAUCAAAACUAGUACCAGAUUCAGAACUGGCUUCGGCAUAUGAUCGAGUAUGCUUUCUUCACACUUCAUUCAAAAACUCAUUUGUUAUGUAUUUGAGCACCAGACAUAGAAGAAAAAGGAAAUCCGUUGUUUAUUGAGCACACACAUGUUAUAGAAUAUUGGGAAUAUUACCCACCUGUAUAUAUGCUCAACGAUACUAUCUUCCUUCUUUACCAGAACUAGACUUUCUGAUUGCCCCAACUCGUAUACUCAGUUAAGCGCUAACAGAGCUAAAUCCUCUUAUUAUGAUUAUUAUUACCGGGGGGAUCUAUACUAGACCUAAGACCCUUUGCUUGUUCUCUUGCAUACCUCAGACCCUUUGCUUGUUCUCUUGCAUUGCAUAUACAAUUGGACUCUCCAUCUCGCAUUAACCUAGCUGUCAAGAAAGCAGGGACUGGCAAUACUAAACAAAGUAUUCAGUCAACUACAAAUCAUCCACAGAUUAUAGUGCUAAGAGUAAACUAAUACUUGAUUUUAUCUAUCUCUAGCUGAAGCAACAAAUACUUAGUGGAAUCAACAAGGGAAUAGCGAAUACAAAUGAAUAUCCCGGGACCAACUCUUACUUGACAUGCCCAUCAGUAUUACCUUCCCAACUAGCAGUCUUCUAUUACUUGCUUUUUGUCUGAAGCUCCUUGUUUCUCUUUCUUUAGUUCGGUAUCUAGGCCUACUCUACUUGGUUUCACCCCCGUGUACUGCUUACUUGCAUCAUGUAUUGCUGCUUUGAUUCUUCUACUCAUGCCUCUCUGCCUUGUUUUAUGUAUGUUCUUCCUUGCUCUUAUUCUGACUAUCCUUCCUAUGAGUCUGCCCUCCUUUAUUGCAUUCCGACUACAGAGGUUCAAUCUUAUACUUACAACUAUGGGAACUGGAACGAGACCGCUACCGAUAAGAAUCAAUCUGGAAAUCCAGAAUACUAGGGGUGUGUGUUCCAUAGUAUCGGAAUGUAACUAAGCGUUAAAAGAAUCAAUCCAUAAAUUCAGAAUGCAGGAAAGGAGCAGUGCCUGGACGACUGUAACCAAUACUCCGGUAAGAAGGAACCGAACCUCUCAAACAGAAGAAAUUCACCAGUAAUAGCAGGAAUGGAGCUACUGGCUAACAGGCUAACUGUCCUUACUCUGAUUCUAGCUACCUUGCACUUCAUUCUAUAUCUCUUUGCUAUUGGUCUGUUACGAUGCCUGUCACUUUGAAAAACGUCUUUUGUAUAGGCAUCAAAUUCAUUCUAGGCUCUCUUAGGCGUAUGACAUGGUGGAUUAGCUAUCCAAACUAAUAAAUGACGUUCUAGUUCAUUUGUCACUAAUAUCUUAGUAAAGGAAAGGAUCUAACUGAUGCCAACAAGGAUCGAACCACUGCUAGAAAGAAUAGAACCUCUGCUAUAAAGGCUUGCUUUACAGUAUCUGAGAAUAGGGCUAAGGUCUAGCACAAUACCUUAACUACCAAAUGGGAAUUACACGACUACAAAUCAUAAUUCACUAUCCUGGUAGUCAACCUUAAUUACUAGCUUCAAAAUGGCACUAGAGACUAAGACUCUUCCCCUACUGCCCUCAAUGCUAUAGUUCAAUUGCUAGUCUGACUUGACUCUUUAUCUAAAUCUAAUUCUUCUAAUCCAUAUAUCAAUUCCUUAUUGAAACUAGUUGGUCACCAAGACCUAAAACACAACUGCAAUAAGAAACAACACUGAAUUGGUUUAUGUAUUAGUUAUUGUCACUAACCAAGCAACUCGCCACUACUAUUAUCCAAGUCACUACCUGGUUUACAGCGCUUUCAUGGAAUUUAAUACGAGAGUUGAGUGAUAGUUUUUUCAUUGAAACACAUAUAUAACUCAGUAACCAAACACCGAUUAUGGAAUUGGAAUCCAUGAAUGAAAGUCAGGCAGGAAAGAAUCUUAGUCUGGCUUGCUUUACCUUGACUCUAAGGGCUAUCUUAUUAGGCAUAAAAUGCAUUGUCAGAGCCUUUUCGGGGAUUUUCUCAAUGUAUUUAUGUAUCUUUCAAUUAGAAUGUAUUUAUGCGCGAGUCUUUCCUUUGUAGCGGUAGGGGCAUAAUUGGAAUAAGUCACUAACACACCGGAGGCUCACUAAUGAGUAUACGCUUGGCUCUCUGUCUUUCCGGAGGCUCACUAAUUAGUAUACGCUUGGCUCUCUGUCUUUGUAGCAGUGUCUUGUCUGCUUGGCCGGGGGCAUUUGCGUUUUUUCUCGAUCAACUAUCUGUAUUGAAUGAAGAAAUCAAGAUAUAAAAGAUAUAUGAAAUUGUGAAUCAAGAUCUAGAUGGACCCCUAUUGAUCAAGUAGUGGGCUCCAGGUCUAGAUAAUGGAAUGGAAAGGGUUCGGAUGGGAUUUCGAUCAAGUGAGAGUGCUUAUACUUCUGUCUCAUAGCACGAUGGUUGUCUACUUCUGUCUCAUAGCACGAUGGUUGUCUACAGGGGGCACCUUCGAGUUCUACUCUUCCGAAAACAUACGUAGGUUUAUUGGCUAAUACCUAGCGCUCAUACAUAAGCAGCCGAGUUCCCGAGUCAAGAAAGCAAUGCUUGCCUUUUCUUCAUAGGAUCAACCCUCUUUACGUACGGCAGUGUCAUUAGCAUUUCAAAGUAUGCAAUGCACAUGUGAAAAGAGUACUAAUACGAGAUAGCACCUGGCCCUCCAUUCCAAAGGAUUCUAACGGAAGAAGAUCUACUUUUCGAUAACGUGUAGUGGGGACAGUUCGUCUUGAAAGCAGUGGGAGCCCCAAUACACUACCUGAGAUUGGAAUGAGAUAUCGAGAAAUUCAUUCAACUUCAAAUCAAGGUUUUCUUUGGCUUAAGUAUAGAGGUAGGGCACAUAGGCUAUUGAUAAGUAUUUCAGUAUGAGUCUCCCGCUCGUCUUAGCUAUAGCUCUCUUCUUCCGCAAGGGUAGCUUCUUUGCUUUGAACCAACCCCCGAGAACGAAUUCUUUUGAUUCAAUACAGCCCGCUCUUUUGUCAACUGCUACUGUCAACUUUUAAAGAUACAGACGGUCCUCAUGGCCUGAUUGGGCAAAUGGAGUUUUUAGGGGUGUGCCAUUCAAGGUAAGCAAGAAAAGACAGAAAUAAAGGGAUGGGGCGCUUACUAAGGCAGCUUCCUCUUUCCCCAUAGGGUGUUCUAAAGGUGACUUGUUUCCUUCUUCGGUAGGAUGCUCAUCCCGCUUUGGGCUUAUUCUCGGUUUUUUAGAAUGAUGAUGAUGAUGAUUUGAGCUUUGUCCCCUUUCAGCGCGUUGUUCUUCGUUUAGAUAGAGAUCCUCUUCUUUCCUAUAUCCUUCCUAGAUUCCCCUUAGAAUAUUAUUCCUAGAUUCCCUUUCCUAUAUCCUUCCUAGAUUCCCUUUCUGGAAACUCCAAUAAGCACUCCUAUAAUCUCUCAGAAGCUACAGCAUUCAUUCCUUGAACUUGAAAGAAAGAAUGGAAUAAGUUCUUAUAAAGGAAGAAAGAAUGGAAUAAGUAACACUAUUAUUGUAUAGAAUUCAUUAACCACUAUUAUUGUAUAGAAUUCAUUAACCACUAUUAUUGUAUAGAAUUCAUUAACAACACUAGAAAGACUCUGAAACCACUUCCCUUCUCUUAGCGCCAACCUCUGGAGCACCCUAGCUUUCGAUCAACCCGUUAAGCUUGUUCUGACUCACUUGCUUGUUUAGGUAAAACUAACACUGACGCGGCAGCCAAAGAAAGGACAACUUACUAUAAGAGCUCUCGGCUCGGGGUCACAAAACGGAGCAGGUGCAGUCUACCCCUACUUUAGAAAAUAGAUGAACAAAACGUAGCUGACCAGGUCCAGUCUACCCCUACUUUAGAAAAUAGAUGAACAAAACGUAGCUGACUAUCGGGGUAACUGAGCUUACUCUCUGGGGUCGGGGCGCGCAUUUAGUUAUUGUUGUUCAGGACGGGAGUUUCGUCUAGGCUUUCAAGUUUGCCCAGCUGCUCCCACUCGACUUUAGCGCCCAGAGCCUAGCUACCCGGCACCCGAAACUGUAAAUGCAUUCUUUGUCCUGUAUUCGCCCAUCUUUCAAGUCCUGUGUUCGCCGACCCGAACUCAAUUGGAAAUUACAAGGGAAAGCCAAUCGUAUUAAUAAAGUAGCACCUGACCUAUACUUUCUAUCUUCUGCUAUAGGGUGUAGUGAGCCUAUACUUUCUGUCUUCUGCUAUAGGGUGUAGUGAGUCUUCAUUCUUCCAGAGAUUCUCUUCGGCUUCAGGUCCCGACAAACAGGUCAUUCUCCAAUUCCGUAAUGAGAGCCCGGCCCGCCUCACAAGGAGCAGUAGGCGCAAGAAACCCAGAAAAGGAAGCGCAGAAGAAACUGCUGUGCCUGUUUUCCCGUUAUAUAAGUUUGGGCAACAGUAACAGGCAAUUCAUAAGCUUACCCAUUUCAGUUCCUCUGGCAACUAUUCGAGGUAAAGUUUCUAUUGAUAUUUACUAGAAAAUCGAAAUGAUCACUUUUUAGAAAGAGUACUGGAAUGCGGGGCCCCCUAGAUCAUCUUAUUUAGAGACCAUUGAGGUGAGUUUCCCUUUUCCAUUUCGUCUUGGAGUUCUUUUCUUUGAGGAAUGGCAGCGGGUAAGCACAGUGUGGGUGUGCUCUUUUCUCGUUAUGGGAUCUUUUGCUCGUUAUGGGAUGCAGUGGCUGGUUUCUGGAUUGGAUUCCUUCUUCCCAAAACUCAGAGCUUUACGGAAACACCUGAGUGGUUUUGCAGAAAUGUGGAAUGGUACCCCCUUCAACCUUCAACCUAAUCAGCUUCUUCAAAGUGUGCUCUGCUUGCUCUGCUUUAGGUUUCUGCUCAGUGGUUUUCUCAGUGUUUUCCUCAGUGUUCUCUUUCUUUUUCGCUAGUUUUUUCAGGGUCUCUUCUUUCGAACUUAUUUGGCUUGGUUCCCAAUUCUUCCCAGUGGAGAAAGUGAUCAUCAUAGCGAUGGAUUCCGAAAAGUCCUCGAUAUAGGCUUGUACCGGCCAUGAGGCAAACACCGUUUUUCAAUUCCGUAGUUCUUUUUCGGUAGUGUUCUUGCCAGGGCCCAUUCGGUUUUCUGCGUGUCCUGUUGUUCAAGAAAGCAUAUAUAGCUACAGGUCUCCACGUGUUGCUGAAGAGACACUUUUUGGUCUACCUUACUUCAUGGUUUUCUAUAGUUUUGAAUUCCAUUCCUGCGCUUCCACGUAUGCGAACUCCAAAGCUGUCAGUGUAGCCUUUUCCCUGUGUUUUUUUGGUGAACUUCUUUAGAUGCAUGUGUGCGGUAAAGCGCCAGUCCUCUAUCAACCUUUAGCCGGUAAAGCGCCAGUCCUCUAUCAACCUUUAGCCUAAUAGUCUUGGCGUUACAGCCAUUUUCGCAAUUGGAUUCUUUUUUUGUGUUACCAAGCACCUCUCUCCCUCCUUCAUAUGUCUCUUGAACCAGUGUGCAUUGGGGGUUUCAUCUUUUUGGAUCUUCUUUUUCCCACUCUAGGGUAUUAGAUCCGCGCUAAUUCCUCAUUGUACAUAAUUUGGAUGUUCUUUGAAUUGAACCACUGAACAUUUGUCUGUUUAAGCCAUCUUUGUAUGCAUCUGUAUAAGGUGGCUAUGACCCUCUAUUCUAGCAGUUCUUCGUUCUUUGAGUUCCACUUCUAUCUUCCAAAUCAUUCAUGGAAGUUCCCAUAGUGGCACAUACUAGCAUUGGGCAAAUUGGUGAUGGCUAUAAUGGGUACAUAUCUUUUUGGAUUUUCUGGAAGGGUGUUCUGUACGCCUACAUUUUCUCCCAUCAAGUAUUUCAAGGAGUUAGCUUAGUUUUACAGAGCCAUUGCAAUUUGGUUAGUUCUCAACCCCUUGCUUUACCAAAUCUUCUUCCAAAUGGAAAUCAUCCAAAAUCCAAAGAGCGUAGUGGUCGUGUGCCCCGAUUAAGUCAUAGAAUAUUGUACUCGGUGUAUAGGUGUAUAGCACUGUGCUAAGCAUUUGGCACAUUACAGUCUUUUGUGUUUCAGUCCUCCCAUAAAGUAGUAGUAGCUUUGUCAUGGGUGGUCUUUCAAAGAGAAGGUUGCAUACUACCCAGUCCCAAAAAUCGGUAUUUGUCACCUAAUUCUCCGAAGGUAUAUUCGUUGGGGUUGUUUUUUUCCUUUCUUUAAGUACUCAGUCAAUCUCUUUUGUUUGCAAGGCUUUCAGCACCUUCAUUAGUAUUCCCCUCGUUUCCUCGAAUAUGACUUUGAGGGCAUUAAUGUUCCUUACGAGAUUCGCCUCCCAUUCUGUAUCCUUACGAGAUUCGCCUCCCAUUCUGUAUCCUCAUAGACUUUUUCCCAUUCCCUUCAUUCCUUUAUCUUUCGUACAACAUAUAUUCUCCAUUGUGGGAUCUUUUUAUGCAGUGUUUGCGCCUUUAGGUUUCCCGUAUGUGUUGAGUGCUUUCCCCAAAUGAGUUUCUUUUUCUCAUCCUGAAUUACUUACUUGCACACGGAAGCCGAAGCUCUGUGAAAGGAAAGGCCAAAUAGAAUUGUGCUCCAAAAUGAUGAAGUCUCAUGGGAAAGCCUUUCUUAGAAUAGGAGGGUUAGCUUCUUCUUUGCGCUACCUACUCAACGAGUAUUCCCACGUAGAAAUGGUGUCCUGUUUUUCCGUGCUGUUCCCUCGCCACAAUGAUGGUAGUACAUGCCGUGGCUGUUCAUAUCCUUCUCCCAACAGAAUUCUUAUCUAUGUCUUUCUGGGGUUUGAUCUGCCCCGCUUAAGGUAAGCUGCAAUAAUUUCCUUAUAUGAGUGUUGGACCUCUUGUUCAGAAUGAUCCUUUUUCCACUGUAAGAAGAAUGCAACUGGUUACUUUGUUCACUGGUGUUCUUUUGGAACUUCUCCCUUUUUAUCAUGGUACUUUUUUCUGCUGAAACAAGAUUCUCCUCUUCCUGUUAGGUAAAGUGUAGAGUGCCCCUUCCAUCGGGUGUCCUUCCCACGGUUCCCGGAAGCACUCCUUUUUGUUUCUCUGUUGGGCGUUUUAAGCGCUGUUGAGUUUUCAUCUCUGAUUCCUACACACCUCUUAGGGUUUUCUAUCCGCCGAGGAAAUGCAUUUCUUUCGCAUACUUCUUUCAUUCUCUUUGUCUUCGGGUUGGUUUAAGUAUUCGUUCAUUGACGCCGGUUGUCUGACUCGGAGUGUUUCUUAAGGAUAGUUGCCCGUCCUUUUGGCUAUCUUUUUCGGGAUAAGAGAGAGACCGACUGCUUUUAAGGAUUAUUUAGGAUUGAGUUUUCUCGAGGGUUGAGUUUGCCCCUCUAGCUUUUGCAAGGGUGGAGUUUGCCCCUCUAGCUUUUCCAGCUGUAACCAAUCCAUGUUUGCCUAACUCUCUUCUAAGUGCUUGGCUUCUAAGUGGGGUCUACCUUCUUAUAGCUCUGCCGCACCUUCUUUAUUUCAGAAAACAGGACUUGAACUUGAAACUGGAUACUUUACUGGAUAUAAUUCCUGACGCUCGACGAAAGCAGAACAAGUGAUGUAUUCUCGGGAACUAAACCACGCCUAGUGCCUUGUAUGGUAGUUCUGAAAGUCCUGGGUCACUCAUAUGAUAGGGAAAACACUCAUUUCCGACACCUAAAGGCUGUUCGUAGACUAAACAUCUUACUUGUGCAAAGCCACUCUCUGCUCUGGGACAGGAUGUUGAAUAGGCAAGCAACUGCUAUCAAUCCUGAUUUUCGUAUUCAUGGCGUUAGUCCGAGCGGAGUGUUUUCUCAUAUCUAAAAGAGAAAGAAUGGGUUUCUACUCUACCAUAUAUAAGAAGAUUUUGGCGUAUGUAGAGGGGUGGUGCUUCUUCAGGCAAGGCAAUUCCAUGAUGUUUCUUUCUGUUAUCAGGUAAUCCCGAAAAGAAUGGUUUUCUCCCAUGAUGUUUCUUUCUGUUAUCAAGUAAUCCCGAAAAGAAUGGUUUUCUCCUAUAUAUAAGAAGAUCAAGAAUGGGAAUUUCGAUUUCAUUACACAUCUCUACUUCUACUGAUGGACACAAUACUAACUCCAAAGGUUUACUAGGCGCAAGAAUACUAAGUGGGGAGGUCUAGCUAAACCUGUCUUCGAGGCGGCAGCUUACUACUAAUGACCAAGUAACGGAACAAGCAGCGGGAGCAAAGGACAGAGGAAAAGGACAGAGGAAAAGCUAAUAGGGUAAUAAAGGGUCUUACCUCGCCAAUAAAGAACCAACCUCCAUCGUGGACACUGGAACUUGAACUGCUUGUUCGUUCUGUUCUGUCAACUCCAAGAAACAAACUUACCGAUAGCGGAACUCUCUGCGUCUUGCUUGUUUCUUUCGCCACUAACAUUGAGGACUUGGACUGGACCUAUACUCGGCUCGGGAAAGCCAGACACUUCCCUCUCUGAUAGACGUAAAGCCAAGAAAGAACAGAACCUCUAUCGUGGCCAACAAAGAUUCAAGCUAAGCACACAACCCGAACUCUACAACUAGGCAAAGGCAAUCACGCAAAGGGGUAAAGCCAACCAUCUCUCUCCUCUCCAUAACACCUUGCUUAAGAUCCCUUUCUUUCUUCGGGAACAAAUCCAGCAACAUCUUAUGCAUAUUCUCUCGUUGGCAAUGCCAUUAACUUAAGGGCUCUUCUACAUUUCUUAACCUCGUAUGGCCUUGCCUUCUCAAACACCUUUGCUGUAACUCCACUUUAAGGUUCUGAACCGACAACACAGGCCUUAGACACUAAAGCACUCGAACCAGUAGACGGCAAACCAAGCGCAUCUAUUAUUCUUGACUUCUCCGCCUUCUAUACAGCAUUCCUUUGAUUUGUCUUUGAUCAGUUCCAUUCCAUUCUCAAGGUUAACUCGACCGACUCUCAUGCUAAUUCUCUCUACGAUUUAACUAGAACAUAACCGAUUGCACCUGCUCUUGUUCUUAUUGGGCCUUGUAAGUGCAAUUCAAAUAAGUAGUUUCCAGUGUUGUAUCCUGUAUGUAUAGGGUCAUUUUCAUCACUUAUAUCAUAUGCGAGAUAGCUUCAAUAUUCCCAUUUUCUUCCUUGUUUCAAGUGUCGUUCUGGGCUUUCCCUUCUCUUUGCUUUGCGUGAUUAGCUUUCCUUAAGAGUUAGGGUUUCGUGCUUGUCUUUUGCUCUUUCAAGUCGACGAGAAUCAUAUCAUGAAUAAGAGGUUUAGUCUCAAGGAAAAGUAGAAAGAAUAGAGUGGAGUAUAGAAGUAGGUAAUGUCAUUUUAUAUGAGGUUAAGCUAUACACUUAUAUACUAGUAUUAGAGGUGUAGCCAGAGUAUGGACACCUAUUUCUCAUUAUAGAAUAAGAGGCUUUGCUCCCAUCUUUUCCUGCAAGAUGAUCUUCUGCGCUCGAUAAGAAAGAUUCGAUUAAUGAUGAGGCGUGAAAAGUAUUGCCAGGUUCAGGCCCAACUGAAUAAUUAGUUAGCAAGUAAAUCCCCUGUUUCAUACUGAGUCGAAGUUGAAGCAACAGUGAUAUAUUGAGUUUGAGUUCGAUAAUCAGCAGUGCGCUUACGGGAAGGCAAUUCCAGCUUGUUUACAGGCCAAACAAUAACAAGAUCCGGUUCAUAAGAUGUCUCCGAAGCAGUUCAAAAGUCACCAGCAAAGGGAGAGUCAAGAGCAGUAUCAAGUAUAUUAUUCUUCCAAUUCCGUUUCUGUUCGAGUCAAGCAUGAAAUGAACACAGAACUCGUCUACUUAGAGUGGAGCCAAUAACUUCUCUCUCUCUAUGACUUAGAGCUAGAGCACCAACUACAAGCCAAUCCUUUCAACCAGGCCGAGUAACUACUCAAAAAGCAAGAAUCGGACAGUUAAUAACUUUAUAUAACAAUUCCGUAUUAUGACAAUUCCUGUCUUCAUUCGCCAAGUCCUGUGUUCAAGAGCCAAUCCACUACUAAGUCCACCAAGCUUAGUAUCAUGUUGCGCGGUAGCGAGUUAAUACACGGCGUCAGUAACGGCCAAUCCACUUAUUCUUCCUAAUCGGAUACGAGGCGCAAGAUCCAAUCCAAUACGGGUGUUAGCAUUGUCCUAUAUCUCUCUAUUCUAUUCUGUCUGUUCUUUUCAUUGAACUGAACACUUAUUGUCAUCCCCACCGUAGGUCAGUAGGAGGCGGACCAGCGAGCAGAGCAGCAUACUCCCUUGUUAGUACAUGGAAAAGGACUCUCUAUAGGGAAGGAUCUUUCUUACAGUAUGGCGUGGUGAUAAAGAAUACCGGCUCUCGCGAACCUCUCAGCGGUACAUCAAGGAAGAAAUGCUUUUUCUUUCGUAGAAAAGAAUAGAAGAAAUGCUCCAUCUUGAGUGUAAGAGGCUUGUAUCCGAUACGAAAAGAUGUUGGUUGACCUCAGGGAUGCAUCUCCUUUAUCUCCAUCUUCGAGCCCAAUCAAUCGACCUAUUUAAUGCCGGGUUGGGUGCUUAGCCCUAAUAGGAAAUGCCGGGUUGGGUGCUUCGCCCUAAUCGGAUAGCGAAGAAAGAAAUCUAUCAGAGAGGCGGAUUCCCCACUAUCAAAUGCCAUGGGAAGCCCUCUAUCGCGGAGUCAAGUCACCAGCAAAUGUAGAGUCAGUAGGAGAAGAGAAGGCAGUAGGAGGCUUCUUACUAUACUAUGAGGAAGUUCAGGAGAGGUCAAUCUAAACAAAAUAUGCAGAACUCAUGCAAAGGAACCAUUUAUAUAUCCUAUAUAGAGAAAUAAGUAUUAGCAAUGUCAAGGAGAAAGGGCUUGCAAAGGUCCCGUCCUCUGUCGGGUAUAGAAUGUUCAGAGGCAAAAGAAAAGG
rnacentral:lncRNA from 1 species